rnacentral:lncRNA from 1 species
CCGUAAAUAAUUUUUGUAGCGUAAAAACAAAAUAAAUUCGUACAUACAGUAACACAGUGAGCCAGAGUGUAUAAUUUAAUUUACAAUGACAUGUGGGCCCCCUAAAUGACCAAACGUAACGAAGGCUGCGAACCUACGAUUUUUAUGGAUGCAAAUCCAACUGUAGCCCUCGACUAAAUCAGCUAUCUACAGACUAUCCUGAGCCUGAAAUGGGUGGAAAGGAGGGUGGUGAGUUUAUAUAAACUCAGUGAGUAAACAAACAUCAUCUAAAAUAUCUAAAGUUGAGUAAACGGAGACAACAUAAAAUAUUUCACCAUACUAUGAUUCAUAACGUUUCAAACUUAUUUCAAUUAAACAAAAUAAAUUCAUUUCACUUAAAUAAUCAACAUGGCUUAUGAAUUUUUUAAAAAUUUGGCUCGUGCCAAAACUCAUUCUCAGGGAUACCUUGGCCGAGGCAUAUAACCGAGUUCGCCAAGGCUGUUAAAAGGUCAUAUGCGCACAAAACACAUUUUUACGUUUUAAAACAUAGUCGUUCCUUGGCGUUGGCUGAAUUCACUCUCAUGUGGUGGUUUGGCGUGAAGUGAACUCUAAACUUUACCUUAGGAGAUACCUUCUGCGCCUCUCGUACUAAGGUAAAUAUAACGGGGUUUACCGUGCCCCUCUAAUAGGCUGGUCCACAGAAACCCACCCACUGCACUAAGCUAAUCGAUAUCCCACCAAAUCAAUAAAAUUUCAGCAGCAUAACAUGGCUAAUAAAAUAUUACCAGCCUGUCAAGGCAAAGCAAAACAGUUCAUAUAAUUUCAACACAAUUUCCAAUUCAGCCAUUCAUGCCAAUAUCACCAUAAGCCAUUCAAUUCAAACCAUAAAUUUACAACACAAACAAAUAGUCUCCAAUUACUCAAUUUCUAAAAUCAUCAUUCAAUUUCAAGACAAUUUCAUAAAAUCAUUUCGUUUAAUCACAUUUUGCUUAUGAAACAUAAGGAUUUACCAUUUAAACUCAUUUUUCUAUAAAAUCAUAAAAAUGAAUAAAAACUACUUUAGAUAAUUAAGACGAUAAUAAGGUUACUCACAAUAUCGGGAGUCGAAGUACUCCUAGUCUAGGUCUUCGGGUAUAAUCUCCUUACCCUUAUCAAAAGUUUCACCACCUAGACAUAAUGCACAAUAAACAAUUUACUAUAUUUGUGCUAAACCGUUAUAAAACUAAUUUAGGCUCUAUAUGAAUGCAUGAAAUGGGAUGUGAAAUGUUCGGAUUAUUAUCUAAAUACGGUGUUCUACGUAGGUUCAAUUGUGUAUGGGGUUGAAAUGGUAUUGACCUAAUUCACACUAUACACAGGUUAAUUGGCCAAAAUAUCCAAUUCAACUCCAAAUCAUCACAUAUAAGCUAGAUAACAUGAAUUAUAGCAAAAUCAUUCUCAACAUUUUUUCUUGAAAAAUUCGGCCAUGGUGGGUGCAUAAAUACUAUGGUUUUUCAUGCUUGAUUUUUACACCAUAAAUCAUUAAUUCCUAACCAAAUCACUUGAAAUAAAAUCAAAUCCACCGUCAACAUACUAUAAGGAAGAUUCGGCCAAUAAGGGUCAUGGAAGAACAUGAAUUUUUCUUGUUUACUUUUCAUGCUACACAUCACCAACCAACUAAAAACACUAGAAUAACAUGUUUUCUAGCUAAAUCCAAGAUCAAAACCCUUCCACCCAUGUCCAGCCAGUAAAGGUAUCUUCAUGCAAACUUGAUUCUCAACCAUGGAAAAUGAAAAAGAAUGCAUAGGAAAGGUAGAUCAUAAGCUAAAAUCAAGAAAUUUUACCUUUUGUCACUUGAUUCCUUGAAAUCCGUCAAUUUUUUCUUGAAUUUUCUAACUAGGGUUUUGUUCUUUCUUUCUUUCCUCUUUUCCUUGGUGAGGCCGAACAUAUGGGAGUGAAAUGGGUGAGUCAUGUGCUGAUUUUUAAUGUAAAUUAUAAUCAAAUGAAAACUUGCCACUUGUCACCAUCCCAUUGGUCCAUGCAUAAAACUUAAUAAUUAAGCAUUCUCUCACCACCACAAAAUUAUUCAUGGACCAAAAUGAUGAUGGAUGAAGUUCAUGGGCUAGACAAGUGUCAUGGUGGUGCAAAAUUCUAAUUUUGCCUUUGGGUGGCAAAAUGACCAUUUUGCCCCUAUGUCAUGAAAAUUCCAAUUUGACUCCAAAUCAAUCCUCGAACUUCGGAUCACCAUAUUAAGUCAUUCUGGGGUUUUAAAAUUCUCAAUUUCAUCUUAAAAUCUCUAUUUGGACUAGUUGAGGCUUAAUUCAGCUUAGUUGUAUCACUAGGUUCACUAUCAACUUUUAACGAUUUUUCGGGGCUUUCCAAGUAUGCAAACAAAUUAUCAAGCACAUGAAUGACAUGGCAAAUAUUUUAUAGAGUUGGGCUUGGCAUAGAUAAAUUUAAACUAUUUUAAAUUUAUAAUUAAUCAAGUUAACUACCUAUAGUUCAUAGACCAAGAUUAAGAUCUAACAAUCCAUCAUGGCCAUCCAAAUGCUAGAAGAGUCACAAUGGUUUGACUCAACCUUUCAGUGAACAACCUUUCAGUGUAAUUCAUUCCCUCCUCAUAUAUCCCGAAGAUGAUAAGAGCAUGGUGCAGUGUCUACUAUUAUUGAUCUCUAUAUUUGUUCUUAAAGUUUGAUCAUUAGCUUUAUAAAGGCUUAUGAAACUCCUUUCAUAAUCUUCAAGUCGCCUUGGCCAACGACUUCAAUAAGCUAAUAUCAACCAAGAACAGUUAGGAUAUGUCCCCUGUAUCACUUGGGGUGAUGAUUCCUAUCUUGGCCAUUCAUUUGCCUUCACAUGUUUCAUGCUAUACCCAAAAGUAUCCUGUUUUGCCAUAUUUAGUUUGGCACCCGUAGGUAUGAAAUCAAAGCAUAGCACUCCACACAUAAGACAACUUGGUGUCUCAAGUCUAGGGAGUAUUUACACAACUAACACAUGAGAAGUAUUGCAUAGACACUUGAGUGAAAUACCAAAUGCACUUCUCAUGGCAGGUCAUGUUUAAUGAACUUGCUCUCCUAGGCAAACACCUACAUUCUACUUCCAAGUAACUCUAUAUUUCAACCGAUGAGAUUGGUUGCUUACUUCUAAAGUAAGGAACAUAGAAUCUACCAGUCUUUAGGUAUCAUUGAUGUCCAGUCUCAAUGAUACAUUGACCAAGAACAUUUUGAGAUUACGCUUUGAUGCAUAAGGAUCUCAUAACUGCAACCCCUUACAGUUCCCUUGCAAGGCAUAUUAAUCUCAUGGACUUCAUCUAAUUAGACUUAUAACUUAUUAUAAUUGAUGUGGGAAAACCUUUAAUCAUUCAACAUGAAUGAUGUUGUUGCAUGAUUGGAAUCAAGCCUUAACCAAUCCCAAUUGGUUGCAGGGCUCAUCCUAACAUAAGCAUGGUGGAAGACUAAACGGAAGCUAAAGAGUGAAAAUGAGUUUUUGUGUAGUCUCUCUACGGUUUGAAGCUUUGGUUCAGGUUUUCUUUUACUUCAAAAUGGCCUAAAUACAUCUAUUUACAGCUAGGACAAUGUUUAGAGCCGUUAGACACAAGUUUGAAUCAAAUUUGACAGUUGUUGAAGCUUAAAGGUUGACUACAAUACUCUUAAGGUCCAUUAUGUUCUUUAAGUUUCUCAAAUUAGGGCUUCCAUAGUCGAGUAUAAUCUUCCUCUAGUCGAUUUAUCUCCCCAUAGAGUGUUUCGUGCAAGUCUAAGAAGCUAUAGUCGACUAUGCUUCCUCUAUAGUUGAUUGUGGCUGGGUAAUCUUGACUUUUCCUUGCCUUUGACUAGUCAAGGUUGAGUGUGCUUGGUUCAAGGUUAACUAUGUCUAUUCAAGACAUGAUUUUCUUGAGCUUUUUGGAAUAGGGUGACUAUAAACAUUUUAGGGUUGACUAUGGCUUUAUAAUCUUCAAGUUUUGCACUCUUUCAGCCUUUGGAUCAACUCUUGGCUUGUGUCUUGAGGUUUCCUUAGCUUUUUGACACUUUUCUCCACCUAUUUCUUCAUUGCCUUGUUCCUACAUUAAAAUAACAUUUCAAAGCAUGCUUGUUAUUAUAUUCUUAACUAAAUAUGCAUUGUUUGGAAGCUUGUGAUAUGCUUUCUAAUGAAGCAUAGCUUUCCAAACAAAUAUGUAACCUUUGAGGAUUAAAAAUGUAUUUGACAUUAAGUAUAAGAAAACAUGUGAUUUUUGUCAAAUUAUAACAUGAUGUAACUCAAGCCUGACAAUCUCCCCCUUUUUGAUAUGACAAAAACAUGAUCAUAUUGCAUUUUAAAUUUCUAUAACCCCCUAACUUAAUUAAUCUUUAUGCUCUUGUUGAAAGCAUUUAAGUAUAAGUGGGAAAGGUAUAAGAAAUCAAUAUGAACUUUGAGAAUUCUCCCCCUCAAUUUUUGCUUGAAGUUUAAAAAUGUUUUCAAGGCAAAUUCAACUAAUAUAAGAGCAUUUUAAUGUGCUAAUAAACCUUUUCCUCUUUUUUGUUUUAUAAAAAAUGUGAAGAAGUGUGAGCUUUAAGCACUUAAACUCAAAUGAAAAUGGUUAGUGAUAAUCAUCAAAUAGAAAUAAGCAUGAAGUCUAAUAAUGAUCACUAACCAUAAAAUCAAAAUAUUGAGAUAUAUUUUAAUGCAAAUAUUCAAUCAAUAGAUUAAGAAAUAUAUCCAAUUGUUAUAAUAUGAAAGCAUUAAAUAAAGAUAUAUUAUCAAUUAAUAUAUAUUCAAGUAAAGCAUAAGGAAAUAUACUCAUUUAACACAUCCGAAGAGCAUAAUAUAUUUUUUUCUCAAGAUAUUCAAAUAAAGAAUGAAAAAGUAUAUUUAACUAAUGUAAUCAAGGCACAUAUAGAUAUUUUCAACAAAGAUAUAUUUCCAUGUAUGAUGUUCAAUGAAGGCAUUAUGGAAUAUAUCAAUGUAUCAUAAGCAUAUCAAGAUAUAUCUCCAUUUCGUAUAUUUUCAAGUACAUUAAUGAGGAAUAUAUCAUUCAAUAAUCAAUUAAGAAUACCACACAUAGAUAUGUAUAUAUAUAUAUAUAUAUAUAUAUAUAUAAUAUAAUAUAUAUAUAUAUAAAAAUUUGUUAUCAAGGGANUCACUUAUUAUAAUUAUAUAUAUAUAUAUAUUAUAUAUAUAUAUAUAUUAGACUUGGUUAAGGGACUCACCUUCCCUUAUUCUAAACAAUUCAUAGUCAUGUGUAAGCAAUCUAAUUUUGGAUUUUUUGACUUGAUUGGUUCCCUCAUAGGUAGUCUUUAAGGAAUUCCAAAUUUGUUUUGCACUUUCACACGUAGAGACUUUGUUAAAUUCACUAGCACCUAGGGAACAAAGGAGUGUUAUAAGUUUUGUAAUUGAUUUGAAUCAAUUUCUUAUCUUUGUCAUCCCACUCUCUCUUAGUCUUAAUGACUAUCAUGCUAUCUACUUCCUUGUAAGGCACAUGUGGACCAUCUAAAAUCACAUUCCAAACUUCUAAAUCCAUAGAUAUAAAUAUUUCCAUUUUCUUUUUCCAAAAAGGAUAGUUAAUACCUACAUAAAGAGAAGGCCUUUGGUUUGAUUGCCUUUCAAUAAGCACAGUUGACGUAAUCUCUAUCUUGUUAGGAAUUUGAGAAAUUGGUGCCCUUAAAAGCAAGUAUAUUCUCAUGUUUAAUUCCAUUUAAUUUAUUUGUAUUGAAAGUAUAUUUUGAUAAUAAGAUGAAGAGUUUGUUUUAAGUAAGCAUUCAUUACCUAGUUAUAAAGGUGCCAAGAUUCUAAUGAGGAAUUAAGAUACAUUUGUAUGAAGAGGCAUACAUAGGAGACAUGUAUUUUAACAAAAUCUAAAAAUGUUCACAAUUGAAUAUUAAAGUUGGUCACUUUAUUAUGUUAAGACUGUAGUGUCCAGAUUACUUCCAAUGAAAAGAAUGUGAUUCACUUCAAGGGAAUAAUGAGUCUCAAAUUAUCAGAGUGGUUGACUUCGAGUAAUGACAUUAUAAAGUGAACUGAAAUCACGUGAAACUUAAUUUUAAGUUAGGUCGUAUCCUUAAAUCUUAAUCUCACACUUAUGCAUUCGUUUAUAGUAGAAUCAUAAUCUUGAUGGAUAAUGGACUACGUUUUAUCUCCUUAUAAUUUUUGAUAUACCAUGGGCAUGAACAUCUUAAUGCAUUAAGCUAGACUCCAUAUGUUCAUAUUAUAAUUAAGGUGAGCAUUUGGGAACACAUAUCCAAACAUUAGAAUUCACAGUAUUAACAUCACUUUUAGUUAUUUCAAAACGAUUGUUGAUUUAAUCUAGGCCUAUUAGAUUGAUGAAUUAGCUACUCAUCACAUCUCAAUACUCAAAAGAUUAGAUCUUGAGUAUUGGAUCACCAAUUGGAUGAAAUCGAAGACUAAGGAACAAAAUUGAGAUAAAGGGUAAAAUGGUAAAUUCACCUUUUAUCAUUGGAUGGCUAUGAGGGUUCACAACAUAAGGUUUGCAAUUGGAUAAAACCAAAUAUUAAAUUUUGCAUAUUGGAUAUAACCAAAUAUUAAAUUUUGCAUAUUGGAUAUUUCUCAUAAUUGUAGAUAACUCAAGAGUGCGACCAUGAAUUUAUGGUGGAGAAUUCCAUGGAUAAUAAACUAGAAUUAUUUAAGAGAUAAUUCUAUGUCUAUUGGAGUUUGAAAUAGUUAUGUUUAAUGCAAUUCCCUACUUAGUUUAGUAUCAUUCAACUCGUUUAAGAUGGAAUUCGUGUUUAAUUAUUUGUGCAAAUUAAUGUUCAAAUUUGGUGACAAAGUGUUGACUUAAUUAAGACAAGAGUUGUCUUAAUCAUAUUUUUUUAAUAAGUCAAAAUUAUCUUAAUAUAGAAAUAUUUUUUAAUAGAAAAAUAUUUAUUAAUAUAAUUUUUGACUUAUAAAUAAAAAUAAUGUUGGAGGAUAUUUAAUUAUAAAUAUAAGAAUUAAAAUUGUUAAUUCUUUUAUUUUUAAUUAAUUAUAAUUAUGAGAUAAUUAUAUUAUUCCAUGUACGAUUAAGAUUUCUUUAUUUUAUUAUUAAAUCUUUUUAAUUAAAGAUAGAUAAUAAUAAAAUAGAAUAAUCUUAAUUUGAAAUGGAGUAGCAAUUAUAAAUAAAUAAAUAAAUUAUUAUUUAAUUAUAAUUGUAGGUGGUAAAUAUUAAUUUAAUUUUAAUUAAUUAAAUUAAAAAGAGAUUUAAGAAAGAAAUAUCUCUCUUAUUUUUAUGGGUCGAAAGUCACAUUAAAAAUAUGUGAUUUUGGCCAAAACCCUAGCCACCCCUCUUUUGAGCUAGAAAAACUCCUUCAUCUAUCUCUCUAGAUUUUCUUCUUGUUCCAACAAUUUUCUACAAGCUCAUGCAAAGAAAAAUUACCAUAGAAGAAAUUGAGAGAAAAUUAUCUAGUUACGAUCUUGAAAAGAAUUCCACACCUGGCCUACUCUAGGUUCGAGAUUGAAAGAUUCUUGAAGAAUAAUUGGUAAUUCAAAUUGGUUGAGAACUCCAACGAUUGGUGUGGUGAUGAAUUUACUACAAUUCAUUAGAAGAGAAGAAUCAAAUAUAUUGCUGACUUGGCAUAAGUAAUAUCUCUUCCUUUGAUUCUUUUAUAUUGAUGCAAUUUGCAUGAUGUAUGAUUGUGACCUUCCACUUGUGUAAAUUGGAAAAAUUGCUUCCAUAACUAGAAAACGUUUGAAAUUCAUAGGUUACACAAUCACAAGCAUACACUACGAUUCAAAUUUAACAACUAGUAUCAAAGCCUUUGGUUGCUUGCAAAUAUAUUUUCCUUUAUGUUUACACAUAGUUGACACCUUUGCAUGAUUUAUUUAUAUUUGAUGUGCUCAAUAUAUGAUUGAAUGCAUGGAUAGAUGUUUAAGGUUUUUUCCACGUUAAUUGUCCUAGAAUUGUUAAAGAUUUACUUGUAAACUUUUUCGUUUGGUUAUGUAACGGGAAGGCUGGCCUAUCAUCGCCAUGUUUCCUUAUUGAUUUUCUUUUAUUUUUCUUAGAUCUUAUGUAUAUAAGAAAAACUCUGUAAAUUAUGUUUAAUUAUGUAAUUGGGAGCAUACAUGGAGAAAAAUAUCGAAGCCAUGGAAGCAAAAGGUAAAAAUUUCGUCUCUUGAUUGAUUUGGUUAUGGCUAUCAAUUUUUGAUUUGUUUUAGGGUUUUAUUGUUCUUAAAAAAAAGAGUUUCUAGGUUAAAUUUUUUUUGGGAUUAAUAUUAUUUUUACAAUUUUUUUUAUGCCCAAGAAACCCAACCCCAAAACCUAAACCUCAAAACAGAUUUUGCAUAGAUGUCACACAAAAAAACUCCAAAGGUUAAAACCCAAAGCUUAAUGUCACGACCCUGUACUGCCUUCGAGCUCGUGACACCGAUGUCUCAAUAGAUAUUCAUUACCCAGAAUGUCAACCGAAACCCCGCAAGGCUCUCGCAUCAGUUUUACUUCUCCCUUGUGAGCAAUAGUUACUAAAUAUGAUGUUUUAAGGGAAUAUAAACUAUUUUUAAAUCAAAACAAACAAAAAAUAAUAAUUUUUACCACAUAGGGGUAUUUUGGUCAUUUUUACCCGAAAAUUUUGAAACUUGGUAAAAAUAUAGCAUACGAUCGAAAAACAUACAUUUCGUAUCUUAAAAUAAUUUUAGUAAUCUAAAUCAUCCAUUUAAAAUGAAAUUAUGGGAAAUCAAACUAAAUAAAAAUAUUAAAUAAAAUAUUUUAUUUUCUUAUAAAACAAUAUUUAUAGAACUCUGCGUCAAUAAUUUUUGUAGCGUAAAAACAAAAUAAAUUCAUACACACAGUGGCACAUGCAGCCAGGUAUACAAAAUAUUCUACAAUGACAUGUGGGCCUCGAUAUAACUGAAAAUAUGCAAGACUGUAGACCUUCGAUUUCUAAGGAUGCAGAUCCAAAAGCAAUCCUCGACAAAAUCAGCUGUCUAUAGACUUUCCUGAGCCUGAAAUGGGCGAAAAGAAGGGGUGAGUUUUUAUAAACCUAGUGAGUAAGCAAAAGUUCAUCUAUAACAUCUAAAGUCGAGCAAAUGGAGAUAGUUAAAUUAUCCCAUAAUAAUAUAAUUCAUAACAUUCAAAACUCAUUUCAAUUCAUAUAAAACAAUUACAUUUCAUCAAAAUUAAUCAGUAAGGGUUAUGACUCUCUUAAAACUUGGCUCAUGCUAAAACUCGUACUCGACGACACCUUGGCUCGGGCAUGCAACCGAGUCCACCAAGGCUGUUACAACGAUAUAUACAUAAAACAUGUUUUUACAUUUAAAAACGUAGUCGUUCCUUGGUGUUGGCUGAGUUUCACCCUCACGUGGUGGUUCGGCGUGAAGUGAACUCUAAAUAUACCUUAAGAGAUACCCUCCGCACCUCUCAUACUAAGGUGAAAUAUAACGGGGUUUACCGUGCCCCUCUAAUAGGCUGGUCCACAAAAACCCGCCCACUAUAGUUAGCAAAUCAAUUAUCCCACCAAAUCAAUAAAAAUUUCGGCAAUAUAACAUGGCUAAUAUGAUAUUACCCAGCUUGUGUCAUGGCAAAACAAAACAGUUUAUAUAUUCCACACAAAACACAAAUCCAACCAUUCAUGCCAUCACAUCGUCAUAAGCCUCCAAUUCAAACCAUAUAUCAAAACACGAGUAUAUAGUCUCCACUUACUCAAUUUCCAAAACCAAUAUUCAAUUUCAAAACAAGUUAUAAAACUCAUUUUAUUUAACCAACAAUUCAAUUUUUAAAACAUAAUAAUUUACCAUUUAAACUCAUUAUUCUUUAAAACAUAAAACAAGUAGAAACAACUUUAGAUAGUUAAGAUGAAAGUCUGUUACUCACAACAGCGGGAGUUUGGAGUACUCCUAUUCUUGGUCCUCGGGUACAAUAUCUUUACCCAUAUCAGAGGGCUCACCACCUAUACAUAAUACACGACACGUAAUUCAAUAUAUUUGUGCCAAACUGUUAUAAAACUAUUUUAGGCUCUAUAUGAAUGCAUGAAAUUGAAUGAGAAUUGUCUGAAUAAUCACUUAAAGACGAUGUUCUACGUGGGUUCAAUUAUGAUCGAAUUGAAUUUGUAUUCGACCUAACUCAAACUAUACACUAUUAAAUUAACCAAAACAUCUGAUUCAACUUCAAAUAUAUUCAUUUCACUUCCAAAAUUCCAAAUACACCUAAGUACCUCAAUAAGCUUAAUUGUGACUUAAUUCACCGUAAUGAAAUUUCAUUCCGAUUUCGAUAUCUGAUACCAUAAAUCAUCAAUUACUAGCUAAAUAACUUGAAAUACAACAAAAUCCAUCAUCAAUAUGUCACCCAUAAAAUUCGGCCAAAGUGAGUUGUUGAAGGGCAUGUGAUUUUCUUGCUUGUUUUUCAUGCCAAACAUCAUCAAACAACUAAAAACACUAAGAUAUCAUAAAAUCUAGCAAAAUCCACCAUCAAAAUCUCUCUCCCUAAGUUCGGCCAGCAUGCAAUCCCUCAUGGAAACUUGUGUUUCAUCCAUAGAAAAUGAAAAAGAAAGCAUGGGUAAGGUAAAUCUUAAGCUAAAAUUGAAAAAUCUUACCUUUGAUUAUAUUUGUUCCUUGAAAUUCAACAAAUUUCUCUUGGAUUUUCUUCUCUAGGGUUUGCUCUUAUUCUUUUCUCUUUGUUCUUUACUUUGGCCGGCCAUGAAGAAUGAAAUGGGAGGAGUGUGUGCUAGUUUUUAAAGAGAAUUAUAAAAGGAUUAAAAUUUGCCACAUGUCACCAUGUAAUUGGUCCAUGGUUAAUAACUUAACAAUUAAGUAUUUGCUCACCACCACAUGUAAUUUCUUAAUUAUCCCAAGUAUAAAAUGAUAAUAGGUAAAAUUCAUGGGCUUGACAAGUGUUAUGGUGGUGUGAAAUUCCAAAAAUUCCAAUUACAUCCUCGUGGACAUGUAAAAUGACCAUUUUGCCUUUAUGUUCGAAAAAAUGUCGAAAUUGAAAUUUUUCACUUCUAAAAUUCAAAUCAUGCUCCAAUUAGUCAAACUUGAUCAUAAAUUUCAUCCAACAUUCCAAUUUUGCCAUCGGGUGGCAAAAUAACCAUUUUGCCCCUACGUUAUGAAAAUUCUCGAAUUAACUCCAAAUCAAUCCUCAAACUUCGAAUCACCAUACUAAGACAUUCUAAGGUUCAAUAACUCUCAAAUACAUCCUAAAAUCUCUAUUCAAACUAGUUUGAGGUUUUAAUCGACUUAAUUGUACCACUUGGUACCAUAUCAAUUUUUUUAACGAUUCUCCGAUGCAUCCAAGUAUGCAGACAUGCUAUCAAAUACAUGAAUGACAUGGAAAGUAUAUAACAGAGCUGGGCUUGACACCUAAAGUCUCAAAAGUUGGGAAAAUACAACAUAAGAUGUGUCAUAUACACAAAACCCCAAGAGUUAGGGAAAAGGAAGAGAAACAUUUGUCACAAGUAGCUAGUUAAUGAAAUUUGGCGUUAUUUUUUGGCAAACUCUUCUCCCAGACCUCUUUUGGUAUUUUGGACAUAACUUUCGUUAUGAAGGUCCAAAUACCACAAUUCUUAUAGAAUUGGAAAGAUAAGAGACAGGGCUACAAUUCUUAUGUUAACCAUUGACGCAAUUUGAAUGAAAUCAAGAUGAAAAUUCAUCACAGGUUGCUGGUCAGUCUAAAUCAAAAUUGUAGGCCGAGUUUUGCCCUAGGAAAAACAUCUAUUUAAAGGUAAUGAGGCCAUAAGAAAAGGGAAAUUUUAGCCUUGGAUUGCAAAUUAAUUUGUUUUAUUAUUUAAUGAGAUUAAUUAAUUGUAUAAAAUAAAAGUUUAUUUUAAAAUUGGGUUAAAAUUAAUGAAACUAAUUUGUUUUAGCCUUGGAUUGAAAAUUAUUUUAUUUUGGUAUUAAUUAAUGAGAUUAAUUAAUUAAGAAAAUAAAAUUAUUUUUCAAAUUCGAUUAAAAAUUAAAAAUUUGGGGAUUUUCGGAUAGCCAUAAAAAUCAAAUGGGUACCAUUUUGGAAGGUGUUACAGGGAGACAAGCUAUGGAAGCAAAGUUAGAUUGAAGAUCUUUUAUUUUACAAGUUGUAAUUUUUUCUAAGAUGGACAUAAAGGUGGCUUAUAUUAAUAUUUGAUACGAGAUAUUGUUUGAUUGAUAAGAAGUCAGCUAGAAUAAGUGCCAACCACUUAUGGAUUGUCAUGCAUAAUAAAUGUAGGAAAUUAAAGUAUUUAGUUGAAUAUGGUAAUAUGGACUUAGUUAUUUCUUAAAGUAUUUAGUUGAAGUCACAACAAAGCCCAUAAUUUGACAUAAGAUAUUAUAAAUAUGCAUCUAGAAAAUCCAAUAAAAAGUCACUAAAAACCCCAACCAUAAAAAUAUUGAGUGGGAGAGGACGAUAGUAAUCCUAGAGUUCGUGGUUUCCAUUAUUGGCCCAUUGGCAUGCAAAACAUGUCACUCCUUAUAGGCGGGCAUGAGUCCAGCUUAUGGUAGACUGGGUAUCAGAAAAGAUAAGUCCUUUUAGGUUGAUUAUGAAGUGAGACCUUUCAUAAAAGCUUACUAAGUAAGGAGCUUAAAAGAAUGAAAUAAUAGUUAUUACACUCAACAUAAAUCUACUAUUAACUUGCCUACAGUAGCUCUUUUAGUAAACUUUGUGGACCAAAUGAAGGCAUUCCUUAACCAUGUUAAUUAUGAAGAUAUUGGGUUUCAUAGUUAAGUGAGAGGGUCCUAGUUUUCCCAAUGGUAAAUUCUCAUCGCCCAUAAUUGGUUAAUUUAUUAUAGAAAGGUGAAUGACCGUUGAGCUAAUAAUAUAAUUUAAAAGGUUUUAUAUAUUAUCAUCAUGCAUACAUGCAUCAUGAAAUGUUCAAAGCCCAUAUAUAUAAUUAGUACGCUUACAUAAUUUCAAAUGUACUUUCUGAAACAUAUCUGCAUCACAAACAUGAAUCCACUUUCAAUUUUGCUGAACAAAUGCACUUUGAAUGGUGAUAACUAUACUGAAUGGAAAAGAAACCUUAAUGUCGUCCUUAAUUAUGAUAUGAUCACAUGGGUUCUCUCUGAGCAUGAGCUUGAAGCAGUAAUUCCCCAAUAAACUCCAUAAGAUAUUGAAUAUCAUAAGAAGUUGCAUGAUGCAGAAGAACUGGCUAAAUGUUAUAUAUUAGCCUUUAUGAACAAUAUAUUGCAAAAGCAACAUGAAGCAUGGGUAAUACUAUUGACAUAAUGUUUCACCUACAUGAGAUGUUUGAUUCAAAAAUAAGGUCUGCUAAGGUGAAAGCAAUCAAUGCUUUUAAAGACCUUAAGUAGAAAUCUAAAGAGCCUAUUAAAGAUUUUAUGCUUAAAGUAAUCUCUUGCCUCAAUGAGGCAGGACUACAUGGUGUUGAGAUAGUGUUAGUAUAAGCCCUACAAGCCAAUCUGUGGUUGUAUGGGAAUUGUAAUUUUGAGAUAUUCAUGUAUGACAUUUUGUUAUUCAUAAUAACAUUGAGGUAGUUCUUUAUCCAUAAGUUUGUGAUUUAAUUAAUUUUUGUACUUAUGUAGAUAAAGCCCAUGGAAUUAUAUAUGCCUUGCAAAGGAAUUGUAUUAGGAUACAAUUAUGAGAUCUUUAUGCAUUAAAGCAUUGUUCUUAAAAGUUCCUGAUCAUUGUAUUAUUGAGACAGGGCAUUAAUAAUGCUUAAUGAUUAGCACAUGUUAUAUUCUUUACUUGUGAAGUAAGCAAUCACUUUUAUAGGUUAAAGUAUAGAGAUACUUGGAACUAGCAUGUGCGUGCUUGCCAUAAAAGAGCGAGUUCACUGAACAUGACCCGCCUUCAGAAGUGCAUUUGGUACCUCACUCAAGUGUCUAUGCAAUACUUCUCAUGUGUCAGUUGUGUAACUACUUCUUAGACUUGACACACUAGGUUGUUUUGUAUGUGGAGUACUAUGCUUUGAUUUCAUCCUUAUGGUUGCCUAAUCAAGGAUGCCAAAACAGGAUGUUUUUGAGUAUAGUAUGAAGCAUAUGAAGGCAAAAGAGUGGUCAAGAUAGAAAUCAUCACCCCAAGUGAUUCAAAGGGAAAUAUCUCAUUAGUUCUUGGUUGACAUUAGCUUAAUCAAAUCCUUAGCCAAGGUGAUUAGGAGAUUAUGAAAUGAGUUUCAUAAGUCUUCAUAAAGCUAAUGAUCUAACUGCAAGAACAAAUAUGGAGAUCAAUAAAAGUAGGCACUGCAUUAAGCUCUUAUCAUCUUUGGGAUAUAUGAUGAGGGAAUGAAUUACACUAAAAAACUGUACACUGAAAAAUUGUCAAAGAAUCUUUUGACUUUCCUAAAAAUUGGGUGCCCAUGAUGCAUUGCUAGAUGCCAAUCAUGGUCUAUGGAAUUGAAUUAGUUAAUUUAAAAUUGAAUAUGAUUCAUUGAAAUUAAUUAAUUAAUAAUAUUACAAUUCAAUUCCAUUGCCAACAUGUUAGGAACCUAAUGUGUCACACACAAAGGUUGCAAUUGGGAUUAAAUUGAAAGUGUGAUGAUUUAAGUUAGAUUUAAAUCAAAUUCUAGAUUUUAACUACUAAUGACCUAAUUAAAAGAGUUUAAUUAGGUAUUGGUUAAAUAUUAUAAUUGUUAUAAUAUUAAGGACUUAUUUUGCAAAUUUUAGUAAGUUUAACCUAGAUAUAAAUAUCACAUUAUAGCCACUCUUUUUUUUUAAGAAAAAAGGAACAAAAAAAAAAGGAUUUUUCUCUUAAGUGCUGCCACUCUUGAGAAGUUUAUUUUCUUUUUUUGAAAACUUCUCCUUUGAUUCUUUGUUGAAAAUCAAAGAAGAAAAAAGGACAAAUCGUUGUCCACUUGCUAGCACAAGCCCAUGGUAUAAUGCUUUCUCCUUGAGAAGGAUCCAUUUCAAUCGUGUGUGUAUCAUUGGAGGCCAAGCGAUUGAGUGGCUAGAAUUCUUUCACACAAAAAGUGUUCAGGUUUUGUCACCAAAAAGAAUCCAUUUGAUUACAAUAUUACUUGGAAAGAUAAAACUUUUUCUAAUUUUAUGUGGUGCUUAACUUUGCAUUAAAUAACCAAGGUGAUCUAAAGGUAGGAGGCAUGAUUUUUUAUUUUAUUUCAAUUUUUGUUAUUUCGCUGCGUUGAUGCUCUAAUCAUGCUGUUUCUAGCAGAUAGAUGUUGAUGCACAAAUAUCAAUGAUUAUUAAUAGCUUGAAUUCAUCAUUUUCAUAGUUCAAAUUAGAUUAUGAACUUCACACUAGGGAUUACACUCUAAAUGGGCUAAUGAACAAUCCCUAAAGUGUGAAGGAGGUUUUUGAAUUGAAAAAGAAGCCUAAAGCACGUGUAGUUUCCAUUUCUAAGCACAAACCGAAGGGUAAAAAGAAUAAAGUUGGAAAUAAAAGGAUUGCUAAGGGAUCAACGGGAGCAAAUAAAAAGCCCACGAAGAAAAAAAAUUGUUUCAAAAGACAACACUAAGGGAAAAUGUUUCCAUUAUGGUGAGAAAGGACAUUGGAAGCGAAACUGCACCGAUUACCUUGAAAUCUAAAAAAGUAAACAAGGUAUGGGAUUUCUAAAUAUAUUAGAAGCUUGCUUAAUGUUUGAUUCUAGGGAUACUUGGAUAGUAGAUUCUGGAGCCAUAUCUGAUAAUCAAGAUGUGUAGCAAUAGGCAAGAGAAUCCUAAUGGAUUUAAGCAUAACUACCAGUGAGAAGGUUUCUUCAUUGUCAAUCCCUUAUCUUUGGGUAAAACCCUUGGCCAUUAGUGUUGGUCCCAAUAAUAUGUGCUAGAGUGGGGGUGAAUAACAUAAUUUGACUCUUUCAAAUAUUGUCUUAAAGUCUAGAUAAGGGUGAGACAAUUGAAGGAAAGAAAAUAAAACAAAAAUAGAGUAAAGAUGACAACAGAAAUUUAGAGUGGUUCGGUCCAAGACCUACAUCCAUUACCUUGAUUAUUCAACCAAGGAUUUUCCCAACAAAUCCACUAUGAAUAGGUGAAAUUCACAAGCUUUCACCAAGCUUUACAAUGGCUUUUACCAAGCUUAGCCAAAACCUUUCACAAUAGUUUUUAUCGAGAUCAACUAAAACCCAAAGUGGUUUUUCAAAGGCUCAACCACAACCUUUCACAAUGGUUUUUCACAGGCUCAACCAAAACCCAAAGUGGUUUUUCAAAGGCUCAACCACAACCAACAACAAUGGUUUUUCACGAGAUCAACCAAAACCUAACAACUAACUUUUCAAGGCUAAGUUAGAACCUAUACACUCAAUCAAGUAAUCCUAACUUGAAACAAACACUUAGAGUACUCCCUCACUCUAAGACUAUAAAAAGAAGUAAAAGAAAGUACCUAUGAUCACAAGUUGAUCUAAAUGGUACAAGGUUAAGUGUAGAGUACAAAUACAAGAGAUGGGUGUUUGAGUGCAGCAAUGUGUAGAGAAGAUUUUCUAGUUUUUUUUUGGCUCUAUAUGGCUCAAAUCUCCUCCAAAACUUCUAAAAACUGGUUUCUAAUUGUUGGAAGACUGUUUUAUACUUAGAGAUGCAACUUUGAUGGAAGUUUGGUAGUUUCAUGUCCUUUGGAAAUAGUUGAAGAUGAGUUCUAGCCGUUAAUCUGUCUUAUAAUGCUCUGGUUCAAUUUGCAGACAGAUAGCUCUUAGUCGACUAAGUUGGUUCUGUUUCAGGUUGCAGAUUCUAGCAGAUAGCACUUGGUCGACUGACUUGGUUGACUACGUUGGUUUUGUUUUUCAAACUCUUCAGCCUGCCAUUCCUCCAAUUUGAAACUUGGUCAACCAACAUUCUUCCUUGUUUCACCAAUAAGCUUCCUCCUUGUUAAGUAGUCAUGUCUUAUUAUUUUUAUCUCUCUUUUUCUUUUGAUAUACACUUUGAAAGAUUGAUUUAUUAAUUUCAUACAUUAAUUUUCCUGCACACUCAAGUAAAGGCAUUAGACACAAAUGAAUGGGAAUGUUUUAUUAUCAUCAAAAACUAAUGGAGCCAACAAUCUCUCCCUUUUUGAUGAUGAUAAAACAUUCCUUGAUUAACAACAUAGUAUCUUUUUACUCAUUUUAGUUUCUUCAGAAAAUGAGGAUUGCUCCCCCUAAGCAUAUGCUCUCCCUUAGUGUGUGCAUAUUUUGCUUACUUUAUUCCCGUAAAUUUUAUUCUUGUUCUACAGAAAAUGACAUUGUAUAUUUAGAGUAUAUAUUUGAGCAGCAAUAAAAAGUGAUUUGCAACAAGUAUUAGCAGAUUGUCAUUACACUUUCAGCAGUAAGUGUUGACAGAUUUCAUCAAAGUUCUCGCAGCUGUCAACAGUUAAUCAAAUUUUGUCUUCAUCAUUUAUGUUUCAACUAAUACAUUAUGCACAACAUCUAUAUAUAUUCAUAAAUAGAAAUUAUUCACAGAAUUAAUUGUCAGCAUAUAAUUCGAUAUUAAUGUAGCAGCAAAUUUUGUCAACAAUAGUAAAAAUACCAAGGAUAGCAAAAUAUCAGUAAACUUUAAUUUUUAGCAGUCAAACAUCAUAAUCACAUCAGCAUUGUAAAGCCUGACCUUAUAAAAUACUUGUCAUGACAUACAUGUGAUGGAUAGCAUGUUUGCAUUUAGGAGAGUCCUGAAAAAUUUACAAAAGUAGGUAUUGUACCGAAAGGUACAAUAAAGUUGAUUUAAACCUCAAACUAGAUCAAAUGGAGAUUUUAGGGUGAAUUUGAAAAUUUUACAAUUCAGGAAUGAUUUAAAAUGGUGAUUUGGAGUUCAAGGAUCAAUUUGGAGUCAAAUCGAAAAUUUUAUUAUCUAGGGGUAAAAUGAUAAUUUUGCCACUCGAGGACAAAAUAUAAAUUUUUUUGAAAGAUUUUGAUCACAUUUGACUUAUUGGAGUAUGAUUUGAGGUUGAGAAUUGAAAAAAAUUAUAAUCUCGGUAUUUUUCAGAGCAUAGGGGUAAAAUGGUAAUUUUGCCACUCUAGUGGCAAAAUUGUAAUUUUACACCACCAACACUUGUCAUGCUCAUAGAAUUCAUCCAUUGACUUUUUAUGACAUGGAUAAGUGAGAAAAUAUUUUUGAUGGAGAUAAAAAGUUUAAAUUUUUAAAGUUUUAAAAAUGGACCAAUAAUAAUAUGACACUUGUCAAGCUUAGAAUAUUUUAUUAUUUCCUUUAAAAAUAGCCUAUAAACCUCUCACUUCUCUCCAAAUAUUCGGCCAAGCAAGGAAAAGAGGGAAACAAAGAAAGAACAAACCCUAGGUGNNNNNNNNNNNNNNNNNNNNNNNNNNNNNNNNNNNNNNNNNNNNNNNNNNNNNNNNNNNNNNNNNNNNNNNNNNNNNNNNNNNNNNNNNNNNNNNNNNNNNNNNNNNNNNNNNNNNNNNNNNNNNNNNNNNNNNNNNNNNNNNNNNNNNNNNNNNNNNNNNNNNNNNNNNNNNNNNNNNNNNNNNNNNNNNNNNNNNNNNNNNNNNNNNNNNNNNNNNNNNNNNNNNNNNNNNNNNNNNNNNNNNNNNNNNNNNNNNNNNNNNNNNNNNNNNNNNNNNNNNNNNNNNNNNNNNNNNNNNNNNNNNNNNNNNNNNNNNNNNNNNNNNNNNNNNNNNNNNNNNNNNNNNNNNNNNNNNNNNNNNNNNNNNNNNNNNNNNNNNNNNNNNNNNNNNNNNNNNNNNNNNNNNNNNNNNNNNNNNNNNNNNNNNNNNNNNNNNNNNNNNNNNNNNNNNNNNNNNNNNNNNNNNNNNNNNNNNNNNNNNNNNNNNNNNNNNNNNNNNNNNNNNNNNNNNNNNNNNNNNNNNNNNNNNNNNNNNNNNNNNNNNNNNNNNNNNNNNNNNNNNNNNNNNNNNNNNNNNNNNNNNNNNNNNNNNNNNNNNNNNNNNNNNNNNNNNNNNNNNNNNNNNNNNNNNNNNNNNNNNNNNNNNNNNNNNNNNNNNNNNNNNNNNNNNNNNNNNNNNNNNNNNNNNNNNNNNNNNNNNNNNNNNNNNNNNNNNNNNNNNNNNNNNNNNNNNNNNNNNNNNNNNNNNNNNNNNNNNNNNNNNNNNNNNNNNNNNNNNNNNNNNNNNNNNNNNNNNNNNNNNNNNNNNNNNNNNNNNNNNNNNNNNNNNNNNNNNNNNNNNNNNNNNNNNNNNNNNNNNNNNNNNNNNNNNNNNNNNNNNNNNNNNNNNNNNNNNNNNNNNNNNNNNNNNNNNNNNNNNNNNNNNNNNNNNNNNNNNNNNNNNNNNNNNNNNNNNNNNNNNNNNNNNNNNNNNNNNNNNNNNNNNNNNNNNNNNNNNNNNNNNNNNNNNNNNNNNNNNNNNNNNNNNNNNNNNNNNNNNNNNNNNNNNNNNNNNNNNNNNNNNNNNNNNNNNNNNNNNNNNNNNNNNNNNNNNNNNNNNNNNNNNNNNNNNNNNNNNNNNNNNNNNNNNNNNNNNNNNNNNNNNNNNNNNNNNNNNNNNNNNNNNNNNNNNNNNNNNNNNNNNNNNNNNNNNNNNNNNNNNNNNNNNNNNNNNNNNNNNNNNNNNNNNNNNNNNNNNNNNNNNNNNNNNNNNNNNNNNNNNNNNNNNNNNNNNNNNNNNNNNNNNNNNNNNNNNNNNNNNNNNNNNNNNNNNNNNNNNNNNNNNNNNNNNNNNNNNNNNNNNNNNNNNNNNNNNNNNNNNNNNNNNNNNNNNNNNNNNNNNNNNNNNNNNNNNNNNNNNNNNNNNNNNNNNNNNNNNNNNNNNNNNNNNNNNNNNNNNNNNNNNNNNNNNNNNNNNNNNNNNNNNNNNNNNNNNNNNNNNNNNNNNNNNNNNNNNNNNNNNNNNNNNNNNNNNNNNNNNNNNNNNNNNNNNNNNNNNNNNNNNNNNNNNNNNNNNNNNNNNNNNNNNNNNNNNNNNNNNNNNNNNNNNNNNNNNNNNNNNNNNNNNNNNNNNNNNNNNNNNNNNNNNNNNNNNNNNNNNNNNNNNNNNNNNNNNNNNNNNNNNNNNNNNNNNNNNNNNNNNNNNNNNNNNNNNNNNNNNNNNNNNNNNNNNNNNNNNNNNNNNNNNNNNNNNNNNNNNNNNNNNNNNNNNNNNNNNNNNAUAUAUAUGAAUUUAUUUUGCUUUUACGCUAUAAAAAUUAUUUAUGCAGUGUUCUAAAAAUAUUGUUUUAUGAGAAAAUUGAAUAUUUUAUUCAUUAUUUUUAUUUUAUUCUAAUAGUCAUAAUUUCAUUUUAAACGAAUGUUUUAGACAUCCAAAUUUAUUUUUGAUUAUGAAAUAUGUGUUUUGCACCCGUAUACUACAUUUUUGCGGAUUUCGAGAUUAAUGAGGAAAAAUGACCAAAAUGCCCUGUGAGAAAAAAAUUGUUUUUCUAUUGUUUUGAUUUGGAAAUAGUUUAUAAUCUCUCAAAACAUGAUUUUAGUAACUAAUACUCACAAGGAAAGUGAGAAAAAUUGAUGUUAAGCCUUGCAAGGUUUCGAUUGACAUUUCGAGUAAUGAAUGUCUAUCGGGACGUCGCGGUGAUUGUCACGGGCUCGAUGGGAGUUUCGGGUCAUCACAAGCAUCCAUUUGUUACACAACCAUAUAGAUAACAAAAUUAAAACUGAGUGCUUAAGUGCCAUUAUGGCAUAACCAGCAGGGAAACACAAACAACAGUCAAUAUUCCUAAAAUGCCCCUUGUUCAUUUAUGAUAAGUCCUAGUACCUCUACCCUAACAUUUUUUUAAAAAAUUUAUUCUCUGCCUUCUGUUAUGCCAUUCUACUCCCCCUUUUUGAUAUGACAAAACUAUGAGCAUAAUUUGCAUUUGAAAUGAUUUUAAAAUCUCCCCCUCAACAUAUGCAUAAAAUUAAAUUUGCUCAUAAACCUUCUCCCCUUUUUUGUUAUAUCAAAAAGGUUAAGAAGAGUAAGCAUUAAAAACUUAAGCUCAAGAAAUAAUGGUUAGCAAAAUCCAUCAAGAAUAUAAGCAUGAAGACCAUGAAUAUGUAACCAUAAAGUCUUUAAGUCAUCAUACAUAUGCACUUAAUAUCCUCAACUAAGUAAUUAAGAAAUAUACCCAUUAAGCACAUUCAAGUAUUAAUUCAUCAAGAGAAUCAGCCACAUGUAUAUAUCUCUAUAAGCAAAAUGUGGACAUAACAUUUAUGAAGUUCAAGAAAGAUAAAGAUGUUCAAUAAGCACAUAAGCCAUAUUUGAACUCCAAUACCAAGUGUUAAAGCUCAAUAUAUGUGGCAUCCCCAUCGAGGGCCCACUCCAAGGUAUUGUUAUGUCUGGCUUUAUUCUCUGUGCCCCGCUGCAGCAGUUCAGGCACAUGAACCUUGCGUUCUAUCCCACAGGAUUCGAACACCAGACCUUUUGCUCCCCUCGAAGGGAAGACCUUUAACCAUUCUAGCUGCAACUGCAGCGGGGCACAGAGAAUAAAGCUAGACAUAACAAUACCUUGGAGUGGGCCUUCGAGGGGGAUGCCAUAAUAUACCAAUUGAUAGAUAUAAGUAAAAUAUCUAUUGUGAGAGAUGGAAUCUUUUUAAAUCUCAUUAUAUCAAUUGGUAAAGCAUUAGUAAAGACUUCCUUUAUCAUUAAGCAUUCCAAGCAUAUCAACUUCAAGGCUCAAAAUAUUUAAGAAAGAUAUGAUUAAAUUUAAAGCUUAAGAGAGGAGAGAUAAUUAUAAAGCUUGAUGCCAAUUUUAAGCUAGACACUAAUUGAGAAAACUUAAGGCUUGAUACCAAUUAUUCAUUUCAACAUUCAAAUUUAAAUGAGAAGCAAUAUAAGGCACAAUAUCUAUUUUGGUGUUUAGAAAGAUGUUACUAGUAACGAGGAACACCAAAUGUUAAAUUCUCACCACACCUUGUUGUUGAAGAUCUUAAUUCGUUAUGAUAUCAAUGACAAUGAUUAACUCCCCCUUAAGAAAUCAUAAGCUCAACACAAAUUGUUAGAGAUCCUCAAUAGAUAAAAUAUUAGGAGAGAAAUAAUGGGCCUAGAAUAAAUGAGCAUUUAUAUGGAUAUUCAAUUUAUUUCUCUAAUAUUCAAGUAUUCAUGGAACCAAAAAAGUAUGAGCAUUUGAAUAGAUGUUCAACAUAUGCAUCACAUACUCAUAUUUUCAAGAAGUAUUUGCAAAGUAGUUCCUAGGCAUUUCUAAGGUAUCAUUUGUCUUCAAGUAUCAUUCUCAAUUAUCAUCAAGUAUUAUCAAUCAUCAUCAAACAUUCAUUAUUUAUUCUCAAUAUCAAUCAGCCAAGAAGUAUCACUCAAGCAUUUACAAGAAAUUCCCUAAUUCAUAUAUGAAAAUAGCAACUCAAGGAGAAAAAAAAUAUCAUCAUUAAGCAUUUUUAGUGAGUAUUCUUCCAAAUUACUUUCAAGUGGUCAUUCAUCCAAGUCAUUUUAAAGUAAGCAUUGCAAGAUUUAUUCUCCAAAUUAUAUAUGAAAUUGUCAAUGCAAGGAGAAUUUUUUUAAAAAAGGCAUAUCAUUAUUAAUGAAGCAUGACUAAGGCAUUUUUCAUUUAUUGCAAUCAUGUAUGAGAGUUAUCAUCAAAUAAGCACAAACAUGAUUACAAGAAAUAACAUGGCUAUCUUCCUUAAUCAUGAUUCGAAGUUUGUUCAUCAAAAUGCAAGCAUGAGUUCAAUAUAGACAUAUACCCAUUGAAAAAAUAUGCAACCAUUGAAGUUCAAAGUACAUGCAAUUUCUCAAUAAUUCAUGAUUCAUGAGUGAAAUCAAUUGUUAUAGAAUAUUGAAAGUAAAGCACUUAACUCAUGAAUAUAUUCAAAGUGAACAUUCAAUCAUCAACGAAUACAAAUUAUCAAGAUUCAAGAAAGAGAUAUUUAAUCAAAGCACAUUAGGCAUUCAUUGUUAGCUAAAGCUACAGGCCAUAUUUUAUUUGACAUGUCAAGUUGUUUAUGGUGACCUAUAAGUCAAAGUUGGAUUCGCACAAAAUCUUUAGAUCAUGUAAACAUUAAGACUCAAUGAAGACAUAGUUAACAUUUAAAUGCAUAUUCAAAAUAUCUUUCAACUAUGUCAACUCACAAUAUAUGCCAUGAUCAAACUUGACAAUUACAUUCAUGUUCAAAUGCAUAGCUCAAGUCAAGUUUUAGACUUCAAACUUUAAGGUCAAUCAUAAAGAAAAAUCAUAUAAGCCUGUGUCUUGACCAAUAUAGUAGAUGAACCAAAAAUAUUUUCAUUAAGUUCAAUGAGCUCAUCCUACUCGAAUAAGUAUGCAUAAUCAAGAAAUCAAUUUUGAAACAAUCAUUUAAGCACAAACGUAAAAUGUAUUUCAAGAAUUGUUCCUAGAUUAGCAUUUGAACAUUUCAAUUUUCAUGACAAGAUAUUUUCUAUAUAUGCACAUGAAAAUCCAAUCGAAUUAACAAAUUCAAGCAUUGAUGAACAAUUUCUCAUAUUUAUAUUUUUUCAUUGUAAAUACAUGAGAAUUUAUGGAAUCAAUAUGAGUGUCAUGCUUGGGAAUAGAUAGAUUUAUUUCAUCAAAAAGGAUUUCCCAUUUUUUCAGCAAGUUUUGCAAUUUUAAGAACAUGUACUUGCACCAAAUGAUCAUGAGAGUAUUCAUGUUGCAUGUUUUUAAGAGUCAAGAAUCAUCUUUGAAAAAGGAAAUAUAGGGAAGAAAAUAUUGUAAUGGACAAGAUGUAAAGUAAAAAGACAUUUUGGAACUCAAAACCUAUCCAUUUUGGGUUUAGAGCACUCAAGAGUUAACUACAUAUCCCUUGGGUCUAACAGCAUUGUUUGCAUUUUGUUCUACAAUAGUUGACUAGCAAUGCUGAAGAGUCAAUUAUGCUUGAUUCCUGCAUAUUGAAAAUCCAAAGAAAGGUGCAAAACAUGCAAUAUUCUAAGGUAUAAUGAUCUCCAAACAUGGAUUUGUGUGAGAACAAUUUAGAAUUUCAUAUCAACCAUGUUAAAACAUCAUUUAGACAUGUAUGAUCAAAGAUUCUUCAAGAAAAACAUGUGAACUCAAAUUUUGGCUUUUAUUGCUCAUUGUUCACAAGUGUAAAAAGUUGAAAUGCUCAUUUGAAGAAUCAUCCUUUAAUAUGCUCAAACAUAUUAAAUUUACAUCAUGAUAUGUGACUAUGACUUAUAACAUGUAUAACAAGUAUUUAAACAAUGUUUAAGCAUAAUAAGCAUCAAAUUUAGCAUUUUCUACAAUUUUUCAGCAUAUGGACAAAAAUGCCAUUGAGGUUAUUCAAGCAAUCAUUUGUAACAAGAUCAACUUAUAAUAGCAUUUUCAACAUAAGGCACACUUGAUCAAGUUUUAUAUCACUGAAAUCAUUAUAGCCUCAAGCAUUACAAGAAGAUUUGUUCCUUUGCUUGAAAAAUGCCAUCAAUGCCAAAUUAUCACACUCAAAAUCAUGCUUAAGAAAUCCCUUUCAAUCAAUUUCACUAAUCAUGAGAGAAAUACCAAGCAAAAUAGGAUUUAUGCAAUUCAUGUAUCAAAUCAAUUUUGCUCAACCAUUCUACAUCAUUAAAAAUAAAGAAUUAAUAAAUCAUUUUCAAUCAAGAAGGAUAAAAAGAUUUAAUCUUUCUUUGCAAACUUUUCAACUUGAAACAUUUAAGAUUAGACAUGCUUUGUGAAAAAUCAUGAGCUCAAUAUCACUUAAUUUUGUUCAAUUAUGCUUUGAAUGAUUUAUGAAAUGUGUAAUGAGCAUAAUGAAUCAUGUUUAUGCAUGUCAAGGGUCAUUUGCAAAUAUCUCACAAUUAUGUUCCAAAAAUGCACUUAUGGCCAUUCAAACUUACAAGCAAACAUGCACAUCCAAUAAGAACAAGUCAUAAGUAUUUUUCAUUAUGAAACAAACAUGUUCAAUUCAUAUAUCAUUCUAAACUUAAAGGAUGGCAACAUUUUUCUCAUGUAAGAUCAUUUGGUUGUAAAAGUACUAAUCAAAGUAGUCAAAACUUUCAAGCUCAUUAUCAACCAUCUUGAACUAUUCAAACAAGUUCUAGAAUGUAAAUCAAGAUUGUUCAAAUGGUCAACCUAUGUUAGGCACAAGGAAAUCAAGGAUAAUUUUUUUUAAACUCAAUUUUCCUCGUUUUAGGCUACUUAAAUAGGUGUGAGUGUAAGUCAUCAAGUAUGCUCAUAUUUCUAUCACAUUAUCCAACCUUUAUGUUUCAAAACUAUGCUCAAAAAUCAUUUUUCCUCAAAGAAGUAGUAUGGAAACAAUUUCAUAAAUCAUGAGGAAAUUUUAUAGAAACAAUUUUCCAUAAUCAAUCAAUCUUAAUAAAACAAUUUUCUCAAAAUAAGGAUGAUGACAUAUUCAAGAUCAAAUAUAAGUACAUACUCCAUCUUUAGAUUCAUACUUCCUUGCAACUUAUAGCAUGUAUCAUAUCAAAUCAAGUUGCAUAACCAAGAUUUUCCAAUAAAGCUCAAAGAAUUUUGUACUUAAUAUUCAAGCAAGAAUAAGCAACCAAAGUUUUCAAUUAAGAAGAGCAAACAAUUUUAGAAAUCAAGCUAAAUCAAUUAAACAUUCAAUAAAUAAGCAAUCAAAGAUCUCAUUUAAACAAAAAAAAAAAGAGUUUUAGCAUAGAGAUCACCCAUUUUCCUUUAUGUGACUCAAGAGCACUCAUUUUUCAAGAAUUGUUUCUCCUUACUCUAGCACACCUACAAGAGACAUUUUUCAUUUGAUCUUUGGUAUCCAAAUUGCUUUGGAUCCUUGAAAGUUAGUCUCGUUGCAUAAAGUUCCUUUUGGAACCCAAAUUUUUCUAAUUUUCUGCACAUUUCUUUUCCUAAAGCAAUCAUAGAAUAAAUGUCUAGUUUUAUCACAUACAAAGCAUCUUGGGGAGAAAUCAUUAGCAUUUCUUAUGAAAUUUGUGCUCUUUCUUGAUGAUUCUUUUCUUAAAUUCUUAAGAGCAGUAUUUUCAGCAACUGCAGCUUGUAAAGCAUCUGUUCUGUUUUUCAACUCCAAUUGUAGAUUUACAAAAUCUGUUUUUGAANNNNNNNNNNNNNNNNNNNNNNNNNNNNNNNNNNNNNNNNNNNNNNNNNNNNNNNNNNNNNNNNNNNNNNNNNNNNNNNNNNNNNNNNNNNNNNNNNNNNNNNNNNNNNNNNNNNNNNNNNNNNNNNNNNNNNNNNNNNNNNNNNNNNNNNNNNNNNNNNNNNNNNNNNNNNNNNNNNNNNNNNNNNNNNNNNNNNAUCUAUAGAGACAUUCAUAUUCAUCUUGCAGCUCAUCAUUUGAAAUAUCUCAAGAAAUAGAAGACACCUUGGAUUCAUCAUCUUUGGCCAUCAAGCACAAGUUUGAUCUUUCUUCCACUUUCUCAUUUAAUAAAUCUUCUAAUUUUAUUCACGUCAAAAUUUCCUUUUUCCAAAAAAUCAAUUUGCUUUUGGUAAGCUUUGAAAUCCUUUUCCAAAUUUUCAUUUUCUUUUUCCAAGUCAAUUUUUUUUCCAUCAAAAAUUCAUUUUCAACAUCAAGAAUGGAAAUAAUUUUCUCGUUCUUCAUAUUCAUUUUCUCAAACUCAAAUGCUAAAUCCUCAAAAGCAUUAUCCAAUUCAUCAAAAGCAUAUGAAUUAAAUUCAUAAGAUGAAGACAUUACCUUUAUCUUUUCAAGAGCCAUGAAGCAUAAUUCAAUUUGAUUUGAGGACACAUCUUCACUUGAUUCCUUGUCUCCAUUUUUCAUGUUGCUUGUUGAGCAUUGAUUCUCGCAAGAGUUGUCUUCCAAUUCCUUUUCCAUAUUUGUUUCUCCAUGUUACUUUCCUAAUUUUUGCCAAAUUUCCUUGACACUUUACACAUCAACACUUUAUCAUAUUCUCUAUAAUCAAGUGCACAAAUAAGAGUAUGCAUACCCUUAGAUUUGAUUUAAACUUUCCUUAUUUUAGCUUCUGUCCACCUACUUCUAUGUUUGGGAGUUUUUUCACCAUUUACCGAAUUUCUAAUCAUUGGAAUGAACAGACCGUCGAUAAUGACAUCCCAUAUCUCAUAGUCAAUUGCCCUAAUGUAUAUUGACAUCCUAGUACUCUAAUAUGACUAAUUUGAGCCAUCAGAGGUGGUCUCUUUGUUGAUUGUCCCUCAGCAACUAUGGAUUUUUGGAGAGCCAUUUGGAGCCUCCCAAAGGGUGUUAGACCUUAAAAACAGGGAACUAGAUCUGAUACCACUUGUUGGUCCCAAUAAUAUGUGCUAGAGAGGGGGUGAAUAGCAUAAUUUGGCUCUUUCAAAUAUUGUCUCAAAGUUUAGAUAAGGGUGAGACAAAUGAAGGAAAAAGAUGAAAUAAAAACAGAGUAAAGAUGAUAGCAUAAUUUAAAGUGGUUCGGUCCAAGACCUACAUCCACUACCUUGAUUAUUCAACCAAGGAUUUUUCCAACAAAUCUACUAUGAACCGGUGAAAUUCACAAGCUUUCACCAAGCUUUACAAUGGCUUUUACUAGGCUUAGCCAAAACUUUUCACAAUAGUUUUUACCGGGAUCAACUAAAACCCAAAGUGAUUUUUCAAAGGCUUAACCACAACCUUUCACAAUGGUUUUUGACGGGUCAACCAAAACCCAAUAACUAACUUUUCAAGGCUAAGUUAGAACCUAUACACUCAAUCAAACAAUCCUAGCUUGAAACAAACACUUAGAGUGACUCCCUCACUCUAAGAACAUAAAGAGAAGUAAAAGAAAGUACCUAUGAUCACAAGUUGAUCUAAAUGGUACAAGAUUGAGUGAAGAGUACAAAUAUAAGAGAUAGGCGUUUGAGUGCAACAAGGUGUAGAAGAUUUUUUGGUUUUUUUGGCUUUAUAUGGCUCAAAUCUCCUCCAAAGCUUCUAAAAACUGGUUUCUAAUUGUUGGAAGACCAUUUUAUACUUGGAGAUACAACUCUGAUGGCAGCUUGGCAAUUUUAUGUUCGUUGGAAACAGUUGAGGAUGAGUUCUAGCCGUUAGUCUAUCUUGUAGUGCUCUGGUUCAAUUUGCAAGCAAAGAGCUCUUAGUCGACUAACUUGGUCGACUAAGGUGGUUUUGUUUCAAAUUGCAGAUUCUGGCAGAGAGCACUUAGUCUACUGACUUGGUUAACUAAGUUGGUUCUGUUUCUCAAACUCUUUAGCCCGUCAUUCCUCCAAUUUAAAACUUGGUCAACCAACAUUCUUCCUUAUUUUACCAAUAAGCUUCCUUCUUGUUAAGCAGUCAUGUCUUAUUAUUUUUAUCUCUCUUUUUCUUUUGAUAUACACUUUGAAAGAUUGAUUUAUUAAUUUCAUAGAUUAAUUUUCUUGCACACUCAAGUAAAGGCAUUAGACACAAAUGAAUGGGAAUGUUUUAUUAUCAUCAAAAACUAAUGGAGCCAACAAUUAGUCUAUCCUUAAAGCUCUCCACCUUCCCAUCACUUACUCUUUUUCUCUUAUAAAUCCAUUUGCAUCCUAUGGGUUUUAUCCCUUUGGAUGGAUCUACUAAAGUCUUGACUUUAUUGGAUCCACAGAGUCUAACUCAAAUUUCAUUACGUUAUGCCAUUCCUUAACAUCUACAUCAUUAAUAACUUCCUAAUGUGUAAUAAGGUUAGAUUCAUGUUCAUCUAACUAUGCAAUCAUGUUUUCUCCCAAACCCACAGAUCUCUAUGGUUGCUUCACAAACCUCCCACACAUAGCAGUAAUGGAAACUUCAGCGAGGUGGGACCUUCCAACCAUGCUUUUGUGCUAGCAAAGUAGAAAACAACUUGUGCUUCUCUUCCUCUUUUAGUCUUUAGCUAAAUCACACAAGAAACAUUUCCAAAAGGCUCUCACAAGGGAUGGCAGCACUAAAGAGACUUGUAUUAGUUUUUUAUAAAACUAAAAACUAAUUAUCAGAAGUGGUUGAAAAGGUGACUUUAUACCUACGUUAAUUAACUUAUUAAGUUUGCUAAUAAGUCUUCAAUAUUAUAACCUCUUAUAAUAUUGACCUUAGCGCUUAAUUAAACCAUUUUAAUUAAGUCUUGUGAUUUAAGUCCAACUUAAAUUGUCACAUUCCCAAUUUAAUCCAUAAUGCAACUAUAUGUGUGUGACCCAUUAGGUUGUUAACAUUGAAAUGCAAGUUCACUCACCGGUCUUGCAAAGGAUUUCAACUUAGAGUAGUACACUUUGAAAUGCAAGUUCACUCACCGGUCUUGUUGUUUCUUUUGCUUGACUCUAACCUCAACUAAUACUCCAAAUGGACAUGUGAGGCCUUUUUGGAACCUAUACACACACAACAUCACAACCAAUCCAAUUUACAUUAAUAUCACUCCAAAAGCUAGUUUCUAAUUCAAAUUCUACUAGUCAUUCCUAAUUGGCUUCCAACUAUAUCAAAUGGCUAUUCCUUGCAUUACUCUAAUCACAUUAAAAAUGAGUAAACAACUCAGCAAUAAAACAGCUCGUAAUCCCAAUUACUAGAGAUUAUCAACAACUUAAAACAAAGCCUAGUUCAUCACUCACCUUAGGGUUUCUUUGUAGUUGAAUUCUCUUCUACUAGCUUCCAAACAAAUGUGAAAAAUCUCUAUUUCUAUCUCUAAAACCUUCAGCUAGUGAGAGAAAGUGCUGAACAAGGACUUUUUGAGGGUUUUAAAGUGAGAGAGUGAAAGAGCACAAGGGUUCUAGUCAAAAGGGCACAAAGGUAUGAAAAUUAAAGUUAGAGAGAAAAAGUUGUGAAAGUUUCAUAUCAAGCUUCCAUGGAGGAUGGAAGCAACGUGAAAUGGAAGAAGAAGAAGGAGAAGAAGCUGUUGGAGAAUAAAGAAGCUGCUGGAAAAAAAAAAUAUUUAUAGCUCAAGCAUAUCCAUUCCACUUGAAAUUAUGAAAAUGCCUUUAGCAAGUUAGCUUGUUCUUCUCUAAUCCUCUGUAAAAUCUUUUUACUCUUUUCACACUGAGAACAAGUCCACAAUGGUCUAAAUAUACUCAGGUUUACGAAAACCUAAAAAUUUUGACCUGAGGUGCAAAAUGACCAUUUUGCCCCUAUUGCGAAAAUUAUUGCCACAUCUAGUUUUCUUCGUGUUUUCAUCAUUAUACAUCAUUUAUUUGGUCUUUAUGCUCAUUUAGAUCUUAAAUAUCAAAAAAUUCCUUCUUGGAACUUAUUAGAGAAAAUGACGAAACUACCCUUGGCCUGAGUUAUUACGUCUAUGCCUCGUUAUGAGCCUACAGGGGUUGAGGUCUCACAAGUUUAAGAUCAAUAAAGAUUGAUUUUAUGUAAUAUGAGGGAAUAAUUUAAAAAGGAAUGAAACGAAAACAAAAACAGAGUAGACAAUCACAACAGAAUUUAUAGUGGUUAGAUCCAUGACCUAUAUGCACUACCUUGAUUGUUCAACCAAGGAUUUUCCUAACAAAUCCACUAUGAACGGUGAAACUCACAAGCUUUCACCAAGCUUUUAUAAUGGCUUUUACCAGGCUUAGCCAAAACCUUUCAUAAUGAUUUUUACCGAGAUCAACCAAAACCUAACAACUAACUUUUCUUGUCUAAGUUAGAGCCUAUACACUCAAUCAAGCAAUCCAAUCUUGAAUAAAUUCCCUUAGAGUGUCUCGCACAAUCUAAGUAUACAAGGAGAAGAUAAAUAAAAGUGUACCUAUGAUCACUGACUUGAUCUAAGUGGUACAAAGUGAAGUGCUUAUCUUAAAUACAAAGAUAAGAGUGAAGUGCAGUAAGAGUGCAGAGAGUUUUUUGUUGGUUUUUAAGCUCUUUUUAUUCUUGGAAAACUUAAUUUAAUUUUCUAGCCUUUGGCAGCCUCUUAAAUACUUGAAAAAUCAACUCUGAUAGGUAUUAGACAGUUUUUGACCAUUGAAAACAGUUUGGUGGUAGUUCUAGCCGUUAAACUAUCUUUUAGUGCUUAAUUCAAAUUUUCUGACAUAAUGAUCUUAGUCAACUAACUACGCUCUUAGUCGACAAAGUUUUCUUUGUUUUCUAAUCCCAGUUUUUAGCAGUGAGCUCUUAGUCGACUAACUUCUUUCUUAGUCGAUUAAGUUGUUUUUGUCUUAAAGUUCAAAUUUCUGGUAGUAGGCUCUUAGUCGACUAACCUACUUCUUGGUCGACUAACCUAUUCCUUGGUCGACUAAGUCUUCUCUACUCUCAAUUCUCUUGAGCCGCCAACUUCUGAUUUCAAUUUUAGUUAACUAACACCCUUCAUUAUCUAACUAAGAGGCUUCUGUUUUGUUGAUCAAUUGUGGCUCCUUAUUCAUAUGAUUUUUGAUAUGUGCCUUUGAAGGAUUGAUUUAUUCUUGGCAUACAAUUUUUGUCCUUCACACUCAAGUAGAGAUAUUGGGCAUAAAUUAGUAGAAAUGUUUUAUUAUCAUCAAAAACUAAUGAAGCCAACAAACAACCUUUUAGAUCUAUCUCUAAAGAUCUUUAUUCUCAUAAUGUAGUUGGUUCUCCCAAAUCCUUCAUGGAGAAUUGUUUGGAUAGCCAAAGCUUAGUAGAUUGCAACAAUGGUAUAUAAUUUCCUAUGAGUAAUAUGCCAUCAACAAAUAGUAUUAGGAAAAUAAUGGCAUUCGCACUAACCUUCUUGUAGACACAUGGUUCAUCCUCAGUGUUGAUGAAGUCAAACCCUUUGAUAGUUUCAUCAAAAUGGAUGUUCCAAAUUUGAGAAGCUUACUUAAGUCUAUAAUAGGACUUUGAAGCUUGCACACCUUUUUGGCAUUAGCAUUGGAUGUAAAACCCUAAAGUUGUGUCCAAUACACUUCCUCUUGCAAAUUUCCAUUAAGAAAUGUAGUUUUUACAUCCAUUUGCCAUAUUUUGUAAUCAUGGUAUGCAAUAAUUGCAAGCAAAAUCCUAAUGGAUUUAAGCAUAGCUACUAGCAAAAAGGUUUCCUCAAAGUCAACUCUUUGUCUUUGUUUAUAACCUUUUGCUACCAGCUUAUCUUUAAAGGUUUGCAACUUGCCACCUACGUUAGUCUUUCUCUAAAAGACUCAUUUGCACCCAAUCAAUUUUAUCCUUUUAUGUGGAUCUACCAAAGUCUAUACAUGGUUUGUAGCCAUGGAAUCCAUUUCAUAUUUCAUGUCUUCUUGUUGUUUCUUAGAAUCAAUGUCCAACAUCACCUCCUUAUAGGUUGUAGGCUCAUUAUUUGUGGGCAAUACGUCUAUAUCCAAGAGAAAUCCAUAUCUCUCAAGAGCUUCACGUAUCCUACCCGACCAUUUAAGUGGUUGUAUUUCUUGUGGUUAUGGUUGUAAAUUAGAUGUCACAACAUCUGAUAACUCUAUUUUAUAGAGUUAUCUUGCACUUUAUUAAGCAUAAAAAGAAUGAAUUCUUGUUACUUUUUUGACAUUUUUAUGUAGUUUUUACAUCUUUUUAUUAAUUAGCUUAAUGCAUGUAAGAAUAUUUCUAAUUGAGUUUUGUUUAGCUCAUUUUCAGUAUAAACAUCCUAUUUCUAUCCUCUAUUGAUUUAGUCCUUUGUUAUUGACGGUGUGCAAGCAUGUGGGGCUUAAAUGUUAAAAAAUCGUGCAUAGGUGCUUAAGGAGGUCUCUUACCAUGCUGUAGUAAUUGAAGCAUAACACAAGCUACAUAAGUGCAAUUGACGAGCUUUUUGGACCAUUGGAAAUUUAAAAAGAAAGGCUACAACUUUGAUGUUUAGCAUUUCACCCAGUUCUAAUCGGCUCAUGGCCAAAAUUGCAUCAGAAGUUAAAGGACUAUUGUAGAUGACAUAGUAGGUAGGCAGACAAGGUAACAUCAUAGCCUCCAAGGGCUAGUGCUAUAGCGUUGCCCUUGUUCAGCCAAGCCUCAGCACGAUCAGAAGGGGUUAAUGCCACUGCACCAACAUGUACUUUAGCAAAUCUACACUCUCUGAUCUUUUAAAUCCUAAGGUUAUUUUUGUGUGUAUAAAAAUAGGCUUUUCACUCUUAAAAAGAGGUUAGAGCAGACACCAUUUUGGGAUAACGAAGCUUUGAAAAAAGGAAGAAAAGGGGAGGAAAUCUUUGAAGAUUAAGGUACAAAAGCUACACCAAAUUCUUUCGCUAGAUUUGAUUUUCUCUUUCUAUUUUUCAUUGUAAAAACGCUUUAUUUUUCUAAGAUGUUGAAUGUUCUUAUGGAUAUGUUGAGCUAAAUUUCUAUUUCUAGGGUUGUGGUGGAUGUUAGUAUGUAGUUUGUGUUGGGAUGAGCCCUGCAGCCAAUUAGGAUUAGUAACGGCUUGAUUCCAAUCAUGCAACAGCAUUAUUCAUGUUGAAUGAUUAAAGGUUUUCUUUAAUCAAUAAGACAUCAAUUAUAACAAGUUAUAAGUCUAAUUGGAUGAAGUCCGUGAGAUUAAUAUGCCUUGCAAGGGAACUGUAAUGGGUUAUAGUUAUGAGAUCCUUAUGCAUCAAAGUGUAAUCUCAAAAUGUUCCUGGUCAAUGUAUCAUUGAGACUAGACAUCAAUGUUACUUAGAGACUAGUACAUUCUAUGUUUCUUACUUGAGAAGUAAGCAACCGAUCUCAUAGGUUGAAGUAUAAAGAUACUUGGAACUAGAAUGUAGGUGCUUGCCUAGCAGAGAAAGUUCAUUGAACAUGACCCACCAUGAGAAGUGCAUUUGGUAUUUAACUUAAGUGUCUAUGCAAUACUUCUCAUGUGUCAGUUGUGUAAAUACUCGCUAGACUUGAGGCACCAGGUUGUCUUAUGUGUGGAGUGAUAUGCUUUGAUUUCAUCCCUACAGGUGCCUAACCAAGGAUAACUAAACAGGAUGCUUUUGGGUAUAGCAUGAAGCAUGUGAAGGCAAAUGAGUGGUCAAGAUAGGAAUCAUCACCCCAAGUGAUGCAGGGGACAUAUCCUAACUGUUAUUAGUUGAUAUAAGCUUAUUGAAGUCCUUGGCCAAGGCGACUUAAAGAUUAUGAAAGGAGUUUCAUAAGUCUUUAUAAAGCUGAUGAUCAAACUUUAAGAGCGAAUAUGGAGAUCAAUAAGAGUAGACACUGCACCAUGCUCUUAUCAUCUCCAGGAUAUAUGAUGAGGGAAUGAAUUACACCAAAAGGUUGAUCACUGGAAGGUUGAGUCAAACCAUCUUGACUUUUCUAACAUUUGGGUGGCCAUGAUGGAUUGCUAGAUCCCAAUAUGAACUCUAGGUAGUUAAUUUGAUUAAUGAUAAAUUUAAAGUAGUUUAAAUUUAUCUAAUUCUAAGUUUAACUUAAGAAUUAUAUGUUGAGUUCAUUGCCAACAUGUUAGAAGCUUAAUGGGUCACACACCUAAAAUGAAUGUUGAAAAUAAAAUGGGAGAGGUGAUUAAGUUAUACUUAAUCAAAUUAGAAGUUAUGAGCUUCUCAAGCACUUGAUUAAAAUUGUUUAAUUAAGUUAUUGGGCCUAAUUGAUUAAAUUUGUUUAAUUAAGUCAUUGGGCCUAGUUGAUUAAAAUUGUUUAAUUAAAUUGUUGGGCUUAAUUAAUUAAAUUAUUUAAUUAAGUUAUUGGGCUUAAUUGAUUAAAUUAAAUAAUUAAGUUACUUGGGUUUUUAAAGGACUUAAUUAAAUUAUUUAUUUAAAUUAUUGGAUUAAUUGGUAAUUAUAAAAUAGUUUUGUAAUUAGGGUUUAAAAUUAAUCCAAGGUAUAAAUACCUUGCUAUAGCCUCCAAACAANGCCUCCAAACAAAAAGAGUGGGAACGACUAAAAAAAAAAAGAAGAGAAUGAACUACACAUUAGAAAUUCUUUUGUCUUACCAUUCAUUGUGUGAGGAAAAAUAGUUUUUCAUUCAUUUCAUUUUUUUGUGUGUUCAGCCCCACAAAUUUGUGUGGAUUAUGAGUUUAUGAAACUCAUCUUUGGUAGCACAUUGUCAAGGCAUAGCACUCUCAAUCCUUAAAGAAGGAUUUUCUAAUUCAUUAGUGUGGAUCACUAUUAGAGGUUGCACAAGGAUUCCUUGGACAGCUUUGGUUUGCAACAACCGAGCUGAGGUGGUUAAGCUUUUUGAAGGCUGAUUUGGUGAUUUAACAAAGGAUUCAUCAACCUUUGUUAUUUAGGAAAAGUGAUAUGAUCAUAUACUUUUAUUUUAAUUUAAUUUUGUACUCGAUUUGGCAUGAAGAGAUCUUAGGAAGGUGAGGUGUAAAUUUUAUUUUUAAACUUAUUUUCACUGUGUUUUAUUUGUAUAUGAUGCAUGAUCAGUUGUGAGACCUCGACCUUUAUAGGCUUGUAACUAGGCAUAGACGCAAUAACACGGGCCGGGGGUAGUUUCUUCAUUUCCUUAGUAAGCCCAUAAAAGUAAGUUUUUUUAAACAAUAUUAUGGCCUAAGUAGGCCUAAGGCAUAAAUGAGUAAUGAAAAUAAGGGUAAAAUGACAAAAGAAAUAAAAAUGACGAUGAUUUCCACGGUAUGGGCAAAAUGGUCAUUUUUCACCUCGAGUCAAAAUUUUUAAGUUUUCACGAACUCGAGCAUUUCUAGACCAUUAUGGACUUUGGUUUAGUGUCAAAAGAGUAAAAAGAUUGUAUAAAGGAUUAGAAGAGAACAAGUUAACUUGUGAGGGCAUUUUGGUAAUUUAAGUGGAGUGGAUAAGCUUGGGCUAUAAAUAUCUCUUUCUUUCAGCAGAUUCUUCUCCCAUUUUCUAGCAGCUUCUUCUUUUUCUUCCUUCUUCUCUUUCACGUUGCUUUCAUCCUCCAUGGAAGCUUGAUAUGAACCUCCAUAACCUCCUUCAAAAUAGCUCAAUUUUUCAUGCUUUUGGUGCACCCUUUCAUAAACACUUGUGCUCUUCCACUCCUUCUCUUUAAAACCCUUGGAAAAUCCUACUUCCAUACUUUCUCUCACUAGCUAGGUGUUUAGAGAGAGAAAAAGAGGACUCCCAUAAUAGCUUGGAAAAUAUUUGGAAAGAAUUUCAAAGUUACAAAGCUAUUAAGGUGAGUAGUAAAUUGGAGUUGAGUUGAAAGUGUUGAGAAUAUCUAGUAAUUAGAUUUGUGAGAGUUUAUUUGUUGGGAUUGUUAUUCAUUUAAGUGUGAUUAGAGUAUUGUAAACAAUAGCCAUUUAAUGGUACUUGGAAACUAGUUGAGAAUGACUAGUAUAACCCAAUUUAGAAAAUAAUUUUGGAAUAGUAUUAAUGCCAAGUUAGGGUAAUGGUGAUGUUGUUGUGCAUGAUAGGUCCCAACGAAGUCCCAUAGCCUAAAUUGGACAAUUAAGGGAGUUAGAGUCGGCUAAAGGCUCAACAAAAUACUGGUGAGUGAACUUGCAUUUCAAAAUUGUUUUGAAUGUGAAUGUGUUUGCACAAAGCAUUUGAACGAUUUUAUACAACUUUUCUAAAAAUGAGUGCCUUGGAACAAGCCCGUGAUAAAUUGUAUCUAUGUUGUGACAUGUGGCUAUUAUGGAUUCAUGCACUACUACAUUUUGUUGAUAUAUAUAUAUAUAUAUACGAAUGUGUGUUAUGUGAUGAUAUUGACCCGGCUAUGUGCAAGUGGGAGUGUGCAUAAGCCGAUGCUGACCCGGUUAUGUGCAAGUGGGAGUGUGCAUAAGCCGAUGCUGACCUAGCUAUGUACGAGUAGGGAGUGCACAUGAGUUGAUGAUGAUGAGGUGGUGUUCAUGGUGAUGGAUAUAUAUAUAUAUAUACAUAUAUAGAUAUGUGGGUUGUAGAAAGUUCAUGAGUAUGGUAUAUGGUUUUCCACAUGUGAAUCUUACAUGUUGAACUUGGGAGUUAUUAUGCGUUUCAUAUUGAUUUUUUUCAUGUUAGUAGGAUGGUUUUUUCUUGAAAGAAAGGAAACUUUUUCUUGUUGCUCUGUUUCUUGCUGCAGCGAGAAACUCUCGGGUUUGGAGGGGUAACGCUGGCCGAAAUCUAGCGAGAAAGUUACUGUAGCAUUUCGCUGCAGCGAAAAAUUUUCUGUUUUAUGGCUAAAAUUUCGCUGCAGCGAACAACUCUCUGUUUUGCUCCUUAUUUUGUUUGGCUACUAUCCUAUUUUCCACUUCUUUGGUACCAUAGUUGAGCAUGGACUUCUAUCAUUAAGAAAUUAAUUAGUUAAGUUUGAAAUGAGGAGGUUUGGUGGGAAACCCUUGGCUAGUUGAGAAACCCUCGUUCGGCUAAUAACUUGAAUCCAAACUUCGAUGCAGGGAGAAUGCCUUUCCACUGUAGUGAGGACCCAUUGUUUACUUGACUUAAUUUGCAUAAAGGUUAUUAAGGUUUUCACUCUUCAAAUCAUUUGUUGAGCAUGGACCUUUUUAUCAAGUGAUUUACUUAUUUAGGGUUUACAUGAGGGGUUUUGAUAAGAGCUAAACUAAUUGCAUUGUUUUAAAGAUAAAUGCAUCAUGAUUUCUUUAAAUUUUCCUUGUUGUUGCUUGUUCCCAUCCUUGUUCACUCACUGGGUAUAUACUCACCGUUUUCAACUUCAUGUUUUCAAAUCAAGAGGCAGUUGGUAACUAGAUCGAGGUGUCUUCGUAUAGUCGACCCUUGGUAGGUGUCUCGGCAUUCAGUAGCUAUACAUUCGUCUGAGUUUCUCCGCUGGAAGUUAAGUGCUCUUUUGUUGUUUAUAGAUAAACUCCAUGUAAAUUAUUAAGACGUAUGUUUAGACAAUACAUGUAUCUUUGAUUGGUAAUGCCACUACGAGUUGGAAAUGCUUAGUAUUAUUUUGAUUUGAAGUUAUGAAAUGUGAUUUAGCAACUUUGAUGGAAUGAUGAACAUGUCAUAUGAAUAGGCUUGCUUGGGCUUAGUGGACUACGUCCAUUGGGCCCAUGCGUUAGUCAUGGCCCAAAAUUUGGGUCGUGACAUCAGCCUUGUGAGACCUUGACCCAUAUAGACUUGUAAAAAGAAGUAUACGUGAUAUCCCUGAUUAAGGGUAAUUUCGUCAUUUCCUUAAUAAGCCCAUAAAAGUAAGAUUUUAAACAAUAUUACGGCCUAAGUAGGCCUAAGAAAUAAAUGGAUGAUGAAAUUAGGGGUAAAAUAAAAAGGAAACAAAAAUUUUGAUGAUUUUCACGGUAGGGGCAAAAUGGUCAUUUUUCACCUUAGGUUAAAUUUUAAGUUUUCAUGAACCCGAGUAUGUCUAGACCAUUAUGGACCUUGUCCCAGUGUCAAAAGAGUAAAAAGUUUUCAUAAAGGGUUGGAGGAGAGUAAGUUAAUUGGUGGAGGGGCAAUUUGGUAAUUUCAAGGGAAUGGAUAAGAUUGGCUAUAAAUAUCUUUCUUCUAGCAGCUUCUUCUCCCAUUUUCCAGCAACUUGUCUUCUUCUUCUUUUUCCAUCUCACGUUGCUUUCAACCUCCAUGGAAGCUUGAUAUGGAGCUUGCAUGAUUUUCUCUCUCUAGCUCUAGUUUUCAUACCUUUGUGCCCUUAUGAAUAGAACCCUUAUAUUCUUUCACUCUCUCACUUCAAAACCCUUGAUAAAUCUUAUUUUCAUACUUUGUCUGACUAGUUGGGUGUUUUAGAGAGAGAAAGAGAGAAUUACACCAUUUGUUUGGAAGCUAUUGGAAGAGAAUUCAACUACAAAGGAACCUUAGGGUGAGUGAUGCACUAAGCUUGGUUUUUAGCUAUGGAUAAUGGCUAGUAAUUCAGAUUAUGAGCUGUUUUAUUAUUGAGGAUGUUCAUUCAUUUUAUAGUGAUUUAGAUAGUGAACAUAGAUAGCCAUUUAAAGUGGCAAUUGAAGGCUAGCUAAGAGAUAGCUUUUAGGGUUUAUAGUAUGUGAAUUAACAUAAUGGUGAUGUUAAUGUGAUGGUAGGUUUCAAGGAAGCCCCAUCAUCCCAUUUGGACAACUAGGGGAAUUGGAGUCAUCUAAAGGCUCAACAAUAUACCGAUGAGUGGAUUGCCUAUCAAAAUCAUUUUUGAAAUGUGACCGUUUUGUACAAAGUGUUUGAAUGAUUUAUACAACUGUUCUAAAAAAUGAAUGCCUUGGGAACAAGCUCUUGAGAAAUGGUUUAUGUUAUGACAUGUGGUUAUUAUGGAUUUCUAUGCGGCUGCAUUAUGUUGAUAUACAUAUAUGUUUGAAUAUAGUGUUGUGUAAUUAUAUUGACUCGGCUAUGUGCGAGUAAGGAGUGUGCAUAAGCCGAGGAUGACCCGGUUAUGUGCAAGUAGGAAGUGAGCAUAACCCGGUGAUGACCCAGCCAUGUGCGAGUAGGGAGUGCGUAUGAGUUGGUGAUGAUGAUGAUGUGAUGGUGUGCAUGAUAAUGAUGCGUAAACGUAUACAUAUACACAUAUGUAAAUAUGUGUGUUAUAGGAAAUUAAUGAGUAAUGGUAUAUGGUUGUAAUGCAUGUGAAACUUGACAUGUUAAACCUUGGAAAAUUGUCAUGCGUUUCAUGUUGGUUUGGACAUUUCAGCAAGGUGCUUUUUCUUUGGGAAAAAGGGUAAAUUUUUUAUUGGUGCCCUAUUUCUCACUGUAGCCAGAAUCAUUUUCGCUGCAGCGAGAAACUCUCAAGUUUGGAGGGGUAGACUAGUCAAAAACUCACUGCAGUGAGAAUGCAUUUUCGCUGCAGCGAGAAUGACACUGUAGCUUCUCGUUACAGCGAAAUUCAUUCUCGCUGCAACGAGAAACUUUUUGUUUCUGGGUUAAAAGUUUUGCUGCAAUGAGAAUGAAUCUCGUUGCAGCGAGAAACUUUCUAUUUCUGGGUUACAAUUUCACUGCAGCGAGAUUCAAUCUCAGUAUAGCAAAAAACUUUCUAUUUUUGUCUGCUAUCUUGUCUAAUUGCUGCCCUAUCUUUCACUUCUUUGCUACCAUAUCUGAGCAUGGACUUCCAACAUUAAGGACUAAAUGAGUGAAGUUUAAAAUGAGGAGGUUUAGUGAGAAACCCUCGGCUAGUUGAGAAACCCUCGUUCGGCUAAUAAUUUUAUCCCAACAUCGCUGCAAUGAAGAUUCGUUGUCGUAUUUGACUUACUUGCGUAUCAUUGAAGCUUUCAUUCUUCAAAUGGUUCGUUAUGUAUGAGUUCAUGAUUUUCAAAUGAUUAAUCAUUUAAGGGCUUAAUGAGGGGUUUUUAAUAUGAAUGGAACUAAAUUGCAUUGUUUUGAAACAAGUGCAUCAUGAUUUUAAAUUCUCCCUUAUUGUUGCUUGUUCCCUUCCUUGUUCACUCACUGGGUUUAUACUCACAGUUUUCAAUUUCAUGUUUUCAGAUCAUGAAGCAGCCGGUAACUAGGACGAGGUGUCCUUGUAGACUUGUAUCCAUCUUUUGGUAGGUGUCUUGGCAUUCAGUAGCUGUACAUUUGUCCGAGUCCCUCCGCUAGAAAUCGAGUCUUCUUUUUGAGAUGUAUAGACAAACUUGAUGUUAAUUAUUAAGAUACAUGCUGUAGGCAAUGUACACUUAAUCAGUAUGCCAGUAUGAGUUGGCAUUGUUUAAUAUUACUUUGAUCCUAAGUUAUGAGAUGUGACUUAGUAGUUUAUGAUGGAAUGAUGAACAUGUCAGAUUAAUAGGCUUGCUUGGGUUUAGUGGACUAUGUCCAUUGGGCCUAUGCGUCUGUGAUGGCCCGGGAAUUUGGGUCGUGACAAGCCCUCACCCAACAGUUUGGAUAUUGUGCUUUGUUAUUACAUACUUUUUAUGUAAUUAUUGAUGUUUAUUCAAAUAUGAAUUUAUUUGCCAUUUUAUUGGUUGAUCACCAAUGAAACGAGUUUGGAUUUUUAGAUUACUUGAGACAAUUAGUCUAAAUAAACAUUGAUUUGGGUAAUAUAUGCUCAUUACACUUGAGAAUUGAUUGGGUGAUUUGCAAGUAAGGUAGAUAUACACCUAUUUUCCAGAUAUAGUCAAUUGUUAGAACCUAUAUGUCACAGCUCAACUUUUGGGUCAUGAUCGACGCAAAGGCCCAAUGGGCAUAGCCCACUAAGCCCAAGUAAGCCUCUUUAUGUAGUCCUAUCCAUUAUUUCAUCACUCAUUCCCACAGUCACAUUUUGUAAUUCUUAACUAUAAGUAUUUCAAUAAUAUAAUAUGACAACCAAAUAUUUACAUUUGUAUUAUCUAAAAAUAAUGUCAUCCAUUGCCAACUCAUAGUGGUACCAUAAUUCAAAGUAUACAUAUUUUGAUUAUAACAUGCAUCUUAGUGAUUUACAUCACAUGUACAUAUACACAAGCAAAAAGACUCUUAACUUCCAGCGGAGUGACUUUAGGUGAAGGUACAGCCACUGAAUGCCACGAUACCUAACAAAAGGCGAAUAGAAGAGGCCACCUCAAUCUAGGUCCCAACUACCUCCGUAUCUGAAAACAUGAAGUUAAAAAGAGUGAGUAUAAACCUAGUGAGAGAAUAUAAGAAGGGAAUAAGCAACUAUAUGGGAAGUUUUAGAAAACAUGAUGCACUUAUGUUGAAAACAAUACAAUUUAGUUUAAUUUCAUAUUAAAACCCCUUAAUUCAACCCUUGAUUAUUUAGUGCCUUAGUAUUGAAAGAUCCAUGAUCAACAAUGAAGUUAAAGAGCAAAAAUUACGGCAGAAUCCAAGCAAGGCAAGCAUGGCAGAGUGAAUCUCACUAUAGAGAAAAGCCAUGAAAUUUCGUUGCGGUGAAAUUAAGGGUAAAAAUUUUGAACCAACCACCAGAGAGUUUCUCGCUGCAGCGAAAUCCUGGACAAGCAUUUUACCCAACCACCCGAGAGUUUCUCGCUGCAAUGAAAAUCUGGACUAGGUCAAGCCCCUAGCACUUGAGAGUUUCUCAUAGCAGCAAGAAUGAAUUUCGUUGCAGCAAAAAUCUAGACAAUUAAGUUAGAAGAAUUCUUGUCACAAUGAAAAUCCAUUUUUGCUGCAAUGAAAUUCAAUUUAAAAAUAUUUAACAAUUUUUAACAUUCAACAUUCAAUACAAUCACAUUUUAUUUAUGUAACCUCUAUAUAACAUAUAUAAACAUAUAUUGUCACGACCCGGUACUCCCCUUGAGCUCGUGACAACCGCCGCGGUGUCCCGAUCGACACUCAUUACUUGGAAUAUCAACCGAAAUCCCGUAAGGCUUUAAUAUCAGUUUCUUAUUUCCUCUGUGAGCAAUAGUUGUUAAGUAUCAUGUUUUGAGAGAUUAUAAACUAUUUCCAAUUUAAAUCAAUAAAAAAAUGAUUUCUGUCUCAUAGGGACAUUUUUAUCAUUUUUUCCCAAAAAUUGCGAAACCAACCAAAAAUGUAGUAUGCAAGUAUAAAACACAUAAUUCAUAAUCAAAAAUAAGUUUAAACGUCUAAAACCUUCAUUUAAAAUGAAAUUAUGACUAUUUGAAUAUAAUAAAAAUAUUCAAUAAAAUAUUCUAUUUUCUUAUAAAACAAUAUUUAUAGAGUCACCGGUAAAUAAUUUUUGUAGCGUAAAAGCUAAAUAAAUUCAUACAUAUUGUAAUACAGAUAAUCAAUGUAUAAAAUUUAAUUUACAGUGACACGUGGGCCCACGAAUGACCAAAAGUAUCAAAAGCGGUAAACCUACAGUUUUUGAGGAUGUAAGUCCAACUGUAGCCCUCAACAAAGUGAGCUAUCUACUGACUAUUCUGAGCUUGAAAUGGUUGGAAAGGAGGGUGGUGAGAUUAUAUAAUCUCAGUGAGUAAACAAAUACCAUCUAAAAUAUCUAAAGCUGAGUAAAUGGAGACAAAUUAAAAUAGAUCGUCAUACUGUAAUUUAUCACAUUUCAACUCAUUUCAACCAAAUAUAAUCAAUUCAUAUAAAUCGAGUAAUCAACAUGGCUUAUGAAUUUCUUAAGACUUUGGCUAUUGCCAAAAUCAUUUUCAUACUCAGUUAUCAAAGAUACCUUGGUCGAGGGCUAUCCUAACCAAGUCCGCCAAGGCUGUUAAAAAUUUCAUAUAAACAUAAACAUAUUUUUAUUUUAAAAACAUAGCCGUUCCUUGGCGUUGGCUGAGUUCAUCCUCACGUGGUGGUUUGGUAUGAAGUGAACUCUAAAAGUGUACCUCGGGAGUUACCCUAUACGCCUCUCCGACUGAGGUAAGAAUAUAAUAGGGUUACCAUUCCCCUCUAAUAGGCUGGUCCACGGAAACCCAUCCACUGUAGCGAUUAACCAAUAACCCACCAAUUCGAUAAAAUUUAAUAGCAUGACAUGGUAAUUUUAUCAUUAUCUAGCCUACCAAGGCAAACAACAGUUUAUAUAUUUAUAACACAAAUACCAAUUCAGCCAUUCAUGCCAAUAUUGCCAUAAGCCAAUCAAUUAGAACCAUAAAUUCACAAUUCAUCAAAUGGUCUCCAAUUACUCUAUUUUCAAAGCCAUCAUUCACUUUCAAGAUAAUUUAUAAAAUCAUUUCAUUUAAACACAUUUUCUUUAUAAAACAUAAAGAUUUACCAUUUAAACUCAUUUUUCAUAAAAUCUCAAAAUCACAUAAAAACCACUUUAGAUUAUUAAGACGAUAGUAAGGUUACUCACUCUUUCGAGAGUCGAAUUUCGAGUACUCCGAUUCUUGAUCCUCGGGUACUAUCUCUUUACUUUUGCCAGAAUACUCACCACCUAGACGUAAUGCACAAUGUAAAACCCGAUCCUAUAAACACAUGUCAUGACAUACAUGCACUGAGUAACAUGUUAUUACGCUAGGAAAGUUCCUAAGAAUAGACGAAACCCAAUAUUGUACCUAACGGUACACUUGAGUUGAUUUAACCUCGAAAUAGUUCAAAUAAGAAUCGUAGGAUGAAAUUUAAUAUUUUACAGUCCAGGAAUGACUAAAAAUGAUUGUUCGGAGUUCGGGGGUUCAUUUGGGAAAAAAUUGAAAAUUUUGAUGUUCAGGGGCAAAAUCGUCAUUUUGCCACCUAAUAAAAUGAUUUGAUCAUGGAGUGAAAUUUUUGAUCAAGAUUAACUAUUUGGAGUCUAAUUUAAUGAUAGGAAGUGAAAAUUUUCAAUUCCGGCAAUUUUCGAAACAUACAAGCAAAACGGUAAUUUUGUCACCUCGGGGUAAAAAUCGUAAUUUUCACAACCCAAAACUUGUCAAAAUUAUAGGAUUUAUUUAUUUUUGGUAUGAAUAACUAUGGUAUUCUAACUGGUGAAAAAUUGAAGUUUAAAGGAUGAAAUUUUAAAAACGGGCCAAUGGGAAAGUGACACAUGGCACUUUUUAAUAAUUUAAUAUUUUUUAAAAGGAAAGUCAACCCAUUUAAACCCCACAUCAGGUGAUGGCCGGCCAUAAGGAGAGAACAAGAGAGAAAAUAGAGAGGAAAGGAAGAAAAGAGAAAAACCAAAGGAAAACUAGAAAAUUCAAAGGCGACUUCGCGUUUUUCGUCCGUUUACUCGUCUAACGGUAAAAAUUUUUGACUUUAGCUUGAUUUCUACCUUUCUUAUGCCUUUGUUUCCAUUUAGCAUGCUUGAGGAGACAGAUCAAAAAGUGAUACCAAGGGCUGGUCGAAUUUCAAGGGGGACGAAUUUGAAAUUUUUAUGUUUUGAUUUUUAGUUAAAUUGAUAGUUUUAGUUAGUUAAAUGUGUAUAGAAAUCAAAUUGGGCAAGAAAGCAUGAAAUUUUCACAAUACCUACCAUUGGCUGAAUCUUCAAUGAUGAACAAUAGUGAAGAACUGAUUUUUAUUCUAAGAGAAAUGAAGAGAAAAUGAUAAAAAAAUGGUUAAAUGUGAUAGAAAAACAAAGUGGAAAAUUUACCUAGUUAAUGUCCCAUUUUUGGCUGAAUUUUCCAAGGAGAAAAGUGAGCUGAUUUUGGUGAUUUUAGAGGAUUAUUGGCUGAUAUUUGAUGGUUAGAAAUGUAGGAGAGAAAAUGGGACAAUUUAGAGCAAAAUAGAGCGCGUUAGCAAUUUAUCGGGUAAAGUGCCAAAAAUAGGUUAAUACCGUGUUUAAGCCGUUUUAGGCUAUUGCAUUUCAUACCAUGCAUUAGUAUAGGAUUUAAGUCAAUUAUAUAGUGAUUUAGCAUCAAUGUGGUAAAUUGUGAAAUUUUUGCAAUGUGUCUAGGAGGAGAGACUUUCGGUAAAGGAAAGGAAGUCGUACCCGACGAAUAGUGAUCGGGGCACCUAGAAAGCAUUUAAUUUGUACAAACGGUGAGUAAACUUAUUAUUCUUGUAAAUUAUCUAGAGUUUAUUUGUAAAUGCUCUUCAUGGAUUUUAUGAAACGAAAAUGAGAUUAAAAUGAGAUUUUUUAUGUUUUAGAAAUAAAUGUGACAAAUAAAUAUAUUGUCUUGAUUUUAUGAAAUAAGAAACUUUUGAUUAUAAAAUUGAGUAAUUGAGGGCUACCAAUUGUCUUGAAAAAUAUAUUUUCCUAUGAAUGGCUUAUGAUAUAUGAGUAUAUGUGGCUAUAUUUUAUAAUUGCUUGGGAAUUUAUAUAAGUUGUCUUUUACUAUGCAGGCUGGGUGAAUAAAUAAAAGCCACAUUAUACUGUCGAAAUUUUAUUAAAAUUGGUGGGUUUAGUCACUGCAGUGACGGGUUUCUGUGGAUUGCCUAUUAGAAGGGCAUGGUAAACCCGAUUAUAUAGUUACUCCGGUUGUAGAGGCGAGGAGGGUAACUCCUAGGGUACUGUUAGAGCUCACUUCACGUCGAACCACCACGUGAAUGUGUAACUCGCCCAACGCUAAGGAACGGCUUGUUUUUAAAACUAACAUGUGUUUAACAUGUAAAUAUCUUAACAACCUUGGCAGACUCGGUUAGAUGCCUCGGCCAAGGUAUCCCCGAGGACUAUUUUGGCUUGAGCCCUGUUUUGAUAAAAGUUAUAAGCCUUAACAACUGUUUUGGUAAAUUACAAAUAUUUUAUGGUUUAAGAAAUAAAUUGAAAACCUUAUGAAAUGGUUUGUAAUUUGUUCUUUAAACUUACCUCCAUGUUACUCGCCUUUAAAUAUUUAUGAUAAUGUCUGUUUACUCAUUGGAAUUUUAAAAUCUCACCCACCUCCUUUCCAAAUUUUCAGGCCUGUGGUAACUUAUAGAUACCCUAUUUUGUCGAGGAUUCCAGUUGACCUUUCUAUCACACAAACAGUAGGUUACUAUCGCAAACACUUGGUGUAUUUAUGGGCCAUUUGUUAUUGUAAUUAUUAUUGUACAUUAUAACUUUGUAAAUUAUUGUAUGUAUGAAUUUAUUUUACUUCUAAGUUACAAAAGAUUACUUACACGUGUUUCUAUAAAUAUUGUUUUAUAUAAAAAUGCUAUAUUUUUGUCUUUUGAUUUACUUGAGCCAAAAACAACUGAAAAUUGUUUAAAACUGAUAUGUAAGCCUUGUGGGGUUUCGAUUGGUAUUUCGGGUAAUGAGUAUCAAUUAGGACAUCGCGGCGGUUGUCAUGGGCCCAAGUCAGUCUUCAAAGAGAGGUAGAGAUUCGACAUCUACUGCAGGAAGUAAUACCUCAACGUUUGUGGCAUCCACUAGACCUCCAUCUUAGCAGUCACAGCCGAGAUCUUCUAGACUUGAUUGGCCAGUGAUGAGUAGUCAGGGGGGGACUUCAGGAAGAUUGGACAGAUGCCGUAAUUAUGGAGGAUUUUAUGUUGGGUCUUGUAGACAGCCUAUAAAGUGUUUUCAAUGCAGCCAACAGAGGCAUAUCAAGAAAGAUUGUCCUCAGUUGAGAUGCGGUAUAGUAACUACUUCUACUUCUCCGACUCAUUCUAGUAUACCGCGGAGAGGCACUUCGGGAUCACAGUCCAGACAGGGCCUAAUAAUACGGUCAGGCAUGGGGAGUAAUACCCCAGAGCAACCAUCUUCCAGACCGCAGCCCUAGAUUUCAACCAAGGUUUUUACAGUGACAGGUACUAUGAUUGUUUUUGAUAGAGAUGCACAUGUUUUGAUAGAUUCGGGCUCCAAUAGAUCAUACGUGAGCAUAUCAUUUGCAUCAUUCUUAGAUAGGAACCUGUCACUAUUAGAGGAAGAGAUUAUAGUGCAUACUCCUCUAGGCGAACGGUUAGUAAGAAAUACGUAUUAUAGAGACUGUGGUAUUAAAGUUGGGGAAGAAAAAUUUAUGGGUGAUUUAAUUCCUUUGGAGAUUCGGGACUUUGAUUUGAUCUUGGGUAUGGAUUGGUUAUCCACUCAUCGAGCAAAGGUGGAUUGUUUUAAGAAAGAAGUGAUUCUCCAGAGUUUAGAGGGAGCAGAAGUUAUAUUUACGGGGGAGCGUCGAGUAUUACCGUUUUGUGUAAUCUCGAUCCUCAAAGCUUUGAAAUUUGUGCGAAAGAGAUAUCCGGCAUACUUGGCUCACGUGAUUGAUAUAUCGAGGGAAGAACCUAAGUUAGGGAAUGUACCCGUAGUAAGUGAGUUCCCUAAUGUAUUUCCUGAUGAAUUAUCGGGACUUCCUCUCGAUCGUGAGUUCGAAUUCACCUUUGACUUACUUUCAGGUACUGCCCCUAUCUCUAUUCCUUCAUAUAGAAUGGCUCCGGCAGAGUUGAAGGAGUUGAAAGUAUAGUUGAAAGAGUUAGUGGACAAGGGUUUUAUAUGCCCUAGUACAUCUCCGUGGGGAGCACCGAUUUUAUUUGUGAAAAAGAUGGUGCACUUCGAUUAUGUAUAGAUUACCGAUAGCUUAACAGAAUGACCAUUAAGAACAAGUAUUCGUUGUCGAGGAUUGAUAAUCUUUUCGAUUAAUUACAGGGAGCUACAGUGUUUUCUAAGGUUGAUCUAAGGUCUGGGUAUCAUCAGUUGAGGAUUAAAGAACAAGAUGUACCCAAGACAGCAUUCAGGACUCGGUACGGUCAUUAUGAGUUCUUGGUCAUGCCUUUCGGGUUAACUAACGCACCGACAACUUUUAUGGAUCUCAUGAACAGGGUGUUUCGCCCUUACUUGGACAAGUUUGUUAUUGUGUUCAUUAAUGACAUCCUGGUUUACUCGAGAGAUAAUGAUGAGCACGUUACCCACUUGCGUAUAGUAUUACAGACUUUGCGGGAAAGACAAUUGUAUGCAAAGUUUUUGAAGUGUGAGUUUUGGUUAUAGGAAGUGGUAUUCUUGGGACACGUAGUAUCGGGAGCUGGAAUAUAUGUUGAUCCUAAGAAGAUAGAGGCAAUUUUACAAUGCGAGCAACCUAAGACGGUGACAGAGAUUUGUAGUUUCCUCAGAUUAGCCUAUUAUUAUCGGAGGUUUGUUCAGGGGUUUUCCUUAAUAGCAACUCGUUUGACCUAUCUAACUCGUAAAGGAGUUAAGUUUGAGUGGGAUGAUGUUUGUGAGAAUCGAUUUUAGGAGCUAUAGAACCGGUUAACCUCCACUCCCGUUUUAACACUUUCUGUGAGUGGUAAGGGAUUUGUAGUUUAUAGUGAUGCCUCAAAGUUGGGGUUGGGGUGCGUACUGAUGUAGGAUGAAAAAGUUGUGGCUUAUGCUUCUAGACAGCUAAAGAGGCAUGAAGCAAAUUACCCUACCCAUGAUUUGGAGUUAUCAGUUAUGGUGUUUGCUUUAAAAAUCUAGAGGCAUUACUUGUAUGGUGAGCAUUGUCGGAUAUUUACGUAUCACAAGAGUUUAAAAUAUUUGCUCACUCAGAAGGAGCUUAAUUUGAGGCAAAGGCGAUGGUUGGAGUUGAUAAAAGAUUAUGACUUGGUGAUAGACUAUCAUCCGGGAAAGGCAAACGCUGUAGUUGAUGCCUUAAAUCGUAAGUCUUCAUCAUCUUUAGUUGCACUUCAGAGUUGUUAUUUUCCAGCAUUAUUAGAUAUGAAAUCUCUUGGGGUCUAGUUGAGAAAUGGUGAGAAUGGAUCCUUAUUGGAAAACUUCAUUGUGCGACCUUCAUUACUAAAUCAGAUCAAGGACAUUCAGAGGUCUAAUGAAGAGUUAAGAAAAGAAAUUCAAAAAUUGACCGAUAGGGGAGUCAGUGAGUUUAGAUUCGGAGAGGAUAACGUCUUGAUGUUUAGAGAUCGAGUUUGUGUUCUUGAGGGAAACCAGCUGAGACAGGCAAUCAUGAAAGCAGCCCAUUCAUCUGCCUAUGCAUUACAUCCGAGAAGCACCAAGAUGUAUAGAACUAUCAGGGAGAAUUAUUGAUGGCUAGGUAUGAAGCGAGACUUAGUAGAAUUGUAGCAAAGUGUCUCGUAUGUCAGCAAGUUAAGGCGGAGCAUCAGAGGCCAGCAGGUACACUUCAGUCUUUACCAGUUCCCGAGUGGAAAUGGGAGCAUGUAACUAUGGAUUUUGUUUUGGGAUUACCACGGACACAGAGGGGAAAGGAUGCGAUCUGAGUGAUCGUAGAUCGGUUGACUAAGUCCCCUCAUUUUUUAGCUGUCCAUAGUACAUACUCUAUUGAGAAGCUAGCUCAACUCUAUGUAGAUGAGAUUGUGAGGCUACAUGGAGUUACCGUUUCUAUAGUGUCAGACCGAGAUCCUCGAUUCACUUCUCGAUUUUGGUCAAAAUUUCAAGAAGCUCUCGAAACCAAAUUGAAAUUUAGCACUGCCUUUCACCCAUAGACGGAUGGUAAGUCAGAGAGGACUAUCCAGACUAUGGAGGAUAUGUUGAGGGCUUAUGUCAUGGAUUUUCUUGGGAGUUGGGAUAGACACUUGCCGUUAGUGGAAUUUGCUUACAAUAACAGCUUCUAGUUUAGCGUUGGUAUGGCACCGUACGAAGCUUUAUAUGGAAGGAAAUGUCGUACUCCACUUUGUUGGGAUGAAAUGGGUGAAAGAAAGUUAGUUAGUGUGGAAUUGAUCGAUCUAACUAAUGACAAGAUUAAGGUUAUACGAGAGAGGUUAAAGGUAGCCCAGGAUAGGCAGAAGAGCUAUGCAGAUAAACGGAGAAAAGACUUGGAGUUUGAGAUCGAUGAUAGAGUUUUUCUUAAGGUUUCUCCGUGGAAAGGUACGAUUCGAUUUGCGAAGCAAGGAAAGCGUAACCCGAGGUAUAUUGGACCAUUCCGAAUCAUUGAGAGAAUUGGACCAGUGGCUUAUCGGUUAGAACAACCUUCGGAGUUAGAUCGGAUCCACAACAUUUUCCAUGUCUCCAUGCUUAAGAAAUAUGUACCAGAUCCCUCUCACAUCCUCAAAGCACCUCCGAUCGAGUUGCAUGACGAUUUGAAGUUCGAGGUGCAACCUAUGAGUAUCUUGGAUCGAAAGGAUCGAGUAUUGAGGAACAAGAGUAUUUCAAUGGUCAAAGUGUUGUGGAAAAGUGCUCGAAUGGAGGAAAUGACAUGGGAAGUAUAGCAUCAGAUGAGGAACCAAUACUUGGAUCUAUUUGUCGAAUCUGGUAAGUGAAAUUUUGAGGUCAAAAUUUUAUUUUAAGGGGGGUAGAAUUGUAAAACCCGACCCUACAAACACAUGUCAUGACAUACAUGCACUGAGUAGCAUGUUAUUACGCUAGGAAAGUUCCUAAGAAUAGGCGAAACCCGAUAUUGUACCUAACGGUACACUUGAGUUGAUUUAACCUCGAAGUAGUUCAAAUAAGAAUCGUAGGAUGAAAUUUAAUAUUUUACAGUCCAGGAAUGACUAAAAAUGAUUGUUCGGAGUAUGAGGAUUUAUUUGGGAAAAAAUUGAAAAUUUUAAUGUUUAGGGGCAAAAUCGUCAUUUUGCCACCUAAGAUAAUAAUUUGAUCAUGGAGUGAAAUUUUUGAUCAAGAUUAACCAUUUGGAGUAUAAUUUAAUGAUAGAAAGUAAAAAAUUUCAAUUCCGGCAAUUUUCGAAAUAUAGGGCAAAACGGUAAUUUUGUCGCUUCAAGGUAAAAAUCGUAAUUUUCACCACCCAAAACUUGUCAAAAUUAUAGGAUUUAUUUAUUUUUGGUAUGAAUAACUAUGGUAUUCUAAGUGGUGAAAAAUUGAAGUUUAAAGGAUGAAAUUUGAAAAACGGGCCAAUGGGAAAGUGACACAUGGCACUUUUAAUAAUUUAACAUUUUUUAAAAGGAAAGUCAACACAUUUAAUCCCCACAUCAGGUGAUGGCCAGCCAUAAGGAGAGAACAAGAGAGAAAAUAGAGAGGAAAGGAAGAAAAGAGAAAAACCAAUGGAAAACUAGAAAAUUCAAAGGAGAAUUCGCGUUUUUCGUCAGUUUACGCGUCUAACGAUAAGAUUUUUCGACUUUAGCUUGAUUUCUACCUUUCUUAUGCCUUUGUUUCCAUCUAGCAUGCUUGAGGAGAGAGAUCAAAAAGUGAUACCAAGGGCUGGCCAAAUUUCAAGGGGGAGGAAUUUGAAAUUUUUAUGUUUUGAUUUUUAGUUAAAUUGAUAGUUUUAGUUAGUUAAAUGUGUAUAGAAAUCAAAUUGGGCAAGAAAGCAUGAAAUUUUCACAAUACCCACCCUUGGCAGAAUCUUCAAUGAUGUACAAUAACGAAGAACUGAUUUUUAUUCUAAGAGAAAUGAAGAGAAAAUGAUGAAAAUGGUUAAAUGUGAUAGAAAAACAAAGUGGAAAAUUUACCUAGUUAAUGUCCCAUUUUUGGCCGAAUUUUUCAAGGAGAAAAGUGAGCUGAUUUUAGUAAUUUUAGAGGAUUAUUGGCUGAUAUUUAAUGGUUAGAAAUGUAGGAGAGAAAAUGGGACAAUUUAGAGCUAAAAUAGAGCGCGUUAGCAAUUUAUUGGGUAAAGUGCCAAAAAUAGGUUAAUACUGCGUUUAAGCCGUUUUAGGCUAUUGCAUUUCAUACCAUGCAUUAGUAUAGGAUUUAAGUCAAUUAUAUAGUGAUUUAGCAUCAAUGUGGUAAAUUGUGAAAUUUUUGCAAUGUGUCUAGGAGGAGAGCCUUCCGGUAAAGGCAAGGAAGUCCUACCCGACGAACAGUGAUCGGGGCACCUAGAAAACAUUUAAUUUGUACAAACGGUGAGUAAACCUAUUAUUCUUGUAAAUUAUCUAGAGUUUAUUUGUAAAUGCUCUUCAUGGAUUUUAUGAAACAAAAAUGAGAUUAAAAUGGGAUUUUUUAUGUUUUAGAAAUAAAUGUGACAAAUAAAUAUAUUGUCUUGAUUUUCUGGAAUAAGAAAGUUUUGAUUAUAAAAUUGAGUAAUUGGAGGCUGCCAAUUGUCUUGAAAAAUAUAUUUUCCUAUGAAUGGCUUAUGAUAUAUGAGUAUAUGUGGCUAUAUUUUAUAAUUGCAUUGGGAAUUUAUGUAAGUUGUCUUUUACUAUGCAGGCUGGGUAAAUAAAUAAAAGCCACGUUAUACUGUCGAAAUUUUAUUAAAAUUGGUGGGUUUAGUCACUACAGUGACGGGUUUCUGCGGACUACCUAUUAGAGGGGCACGGUAAACCCGGUUAUAUAGUUACUGCAGUUGUAGAGGCGAAAAGGGUAACUCCUGAGGUAGUGUUAGAGCUCACUUCACGUCGAACCGCCACGUGAAUGUGUAACUCGGCCAACGCUAAGGAAAGGCUUGUUUUUAAAACUAACAUGUGUUUAACAUGUGAAUAUCUUAACAACCUUGGCGGACUCGAUUAGAUGCCUUGGCCAAGGUAUCCCCGAGGACUAGUUUUGGCUUGAGCCUUGUUUUUGAUAAAAGUUAUAAGCCUUAACAACUGUUUUGGUAAAUUACAAAUAUUUUAUGGUUUAAGAAAUAAAUUGAAAACCUUAUGAAAUGGUUUGUAAUUUGUUGUUUAAACUUGCCUCCAUGUUACUCGCCUUUAGAUAUUUAUGAUAAUGUCUGUUUACUCAUUGGGAUUGCAAAAUCUCACCCACCUCCUUUCCAAAUUUUCAGGCUUGUGGUAGCUUGUAGAUACCCGACUUUGUCGAGGAUUCCAGUUGACCCCUCUAUCACACAGACAGUAGGUUACUAUCACCAACACUUGGUGUAUUUAUGGGCCACUGGUCAUUAUAAUUAUUAUUGUACAUUAUAACUUUGUAAAUUAUUGUAUGUAUGAAUUUAUUUUACUUCUAAGUUACAAAAGAUUACUUACACGUGUUUCUAUAAAUAUUGUUUUAUAUAAAAAUGCUAUAUUUUUGUCUUUUGAUUUACUUGAGCCAGAAACAACUGAAAAUUGUUUAAAACUGAUAUGUAAGCCUUGCGGGGUUUUGAUUGAUAUUCAAGGUAAUGAGUAUCAAUCGGGACAUCGCGGCGGUUGUCAUGGGCCCGAGGGAGGUUUCGGGUCGUGACACAGAAUAAGCCAUUUACUAAAUUUGUGCUAAAUUGUUAUAAAACCAAUUCAAGCUCUAUACUAAUGCAUGAAAUGGAAUGUAAAUUGUUCAGAUUAUCAUCUAAACACGGUGUUCUACACAAAUUCAAUUAUGUACCUAAAUGAAACGGUAUUGGCCUAAUUCGAUCUAUCACCCAAUUAAUUGGCCAAUAUGUCCAAUUUAACUCCAAAUAAUUCCAUUUUUCUUCCAAUUCUCCAAAUCAUCAAGCACAAAUUAAAUAACUUGAAAUGUGGCAAAAUCAUCCUCAAUAUUCCACAUGGAGAAUUCGGCCAAUGAUGGGUGAUGGAAGAACAUGAAUUUUUCUUGCUUGAUUUUCAUGCUACACAUCACCAAUCAACUAAAAACACUAAAAUACAUUGAAAUCUAACCAAAUCAAGGAUCAAAACCUCUCGCUAAGUGUUUAGCCAGCAAGAUACCCAUCAUGAAAUCAUGUGAUUAAACCAUGAAAAAUGCAAAAGAAUGUAUGGGAAAGGUAGAUCACAAGUCAAAAUCAAGAAAUUUUACCUUUGAUUGCUUGAUUCCUUGAAAUCCACCAAAUUUUCUCUUGAAUUUUCACCCUAGGGUUCUUGUUCUUUCUUUUCUUCCUUUGUUCUUGCUUUGGUCGGCCAUAUGAA